CAUACAGGUAUGUAAUCUCAAAAUCUUCAUCUCUUGUUUGAGUUUUUUAGUCAACUUCUCAUUUAUGAAUUGGGUCCAUAACAACAACAAAUCAUUUAACAUGAGUGUAUACUAUAUACUAUAUAAUUUUUGAUUUUUUUUUUUUUGUUCUAUAUUUUAUUUUAAAAGAAAAGGGUGUUCUAUUAAUCUAUCUUAUUUUUUGCUGGUUAUCACAGACUUGGUUGAGUCGUCCUAUACUAUUUGAACGUCAACUUGGUGUGGCUGCUACUUCUAGUUGUAUUCUGUCAGCUCCUAUCAUGGGCGACAUUAACAAUGCUGCUAAUCUUGAGCAAAAUUUCACAAUGUUGUCGGUUAAGAUGGUUGAUCUGGUUAAUCUGAAGGACAGAGUGAAAAGAAGAAACGAACUAUAUCCAGAGGACAUGGAUGGGUGGGUGCAUAAUGCAGAGGACAGAGAACGUGAAGUGGCGGAAAUAAGAAGUAAGUUAGAUGAACUACAAUUACAUAGUUUUCAAUAUAUUAGAAAUGUGAAUUACAGAUCCAAACUUAACCAAAGAGUGAUUGAAAAUCUAAAUGCUGUGAACAAUUUAAUAGCAGUGGGUAAUUCCAGUCCAGCAUCAAUUCGCGCAUUUUUAAGUGAAAUGGCAAUUGGUCAACCUAGGGAAUUUUCUCGAGCGGAGAUUAUGAUCAUUACAUCACAUUUAUCUGAAUCCAAUAUAAUACGCUCUGAUUUGUUUGGAAAUGUCUAUAAUGGUAAGUUUCGCAAUGGUAAGCAAGUAAGUGUUAAGGUACUAAGGGAUAAGGAUGUGAGUCAAGGGAUAUUCAAAUCUGAGGUGAGAUCAUUGAGCAAUGCUUCCCAUCGGAACUUACUAAAACUUUAUGGGUAUUGCUUUGAACACAACACCAUAGCACUUGUUUAUGAAUAUAUGGAAAAUGGGACAUUUGAUAAAAUAUUGUAUCAAAAUCCCCUUAGUAUAGAGUGGGAUAAGUUUUAUGGUAUUGCAAUUAAGACAGCAAAGGCAAUCGCAUAUUUGCAUGAUGGUUGUGAUGACCAAAUCAUUCACCAUAACAUAAACGCUGCUAAUGUGCUUCUUGGCGAAUACUUUUCUCCGAAGGUUGCAGAGUUUGGAUUGGCAAAGCUCAUCAAAGAAGGUAGGACUCAUUUAACCUUGACCAAUCCCAGAGGAACUCCUGGUUAUGCUGCCCCGGAGAUGUGGAUACCAUCAUCACGAAUAACUUGUUCAUCUGAUGUUUACAGCUUUGGUAUGAUGUUGUUUGAAAUUCUUGGGAUGAGAGAAAACUUCAAGAAAGGUCAAGUUUGGUUUCCACAACAUGUUUGGAACAAGUUUAAAAGCGAUCAACUAGACGAUCUUUUAGUGGAGUGUGGUAUAUAUGAAAAGGACAAAAUAGAAGCAAAGACAUCAGCUCUGGUUGCAUUAUGGUGUGCUCAAUUUAAACCUCAACUAAGACCUUCCAUGAGCACUGUGGUGAAGAUGCUUGAGUUGGAAAUUCCAGUUAAGAAUCAAAUUCCCAAUCCAUUUAAGCGUUUCCGAUCACCUCAAACCAGUCUUCACGGCAGAUGAAGAGUAUUGGAGGGGUAUUGGUGGAAAUAUGAUUUGUGGUUGAUCACUUGUGAUUUAAACAGUAGUAGAAUCUUAUUUUGAAGUUCAAAGACCAUGGGGAUACAACAUUACCCAAUUCAUUCUGUAAUUUUUGCAGAUUGGAUUAAACAGAUUUGGUUCAUUCCUGUUGUUGUUUUUAUUUGUUGUAUACAUUUAAGUUGAAAGUGAGGUCCCCUCAUUGCCUCACUCAUUUUAAGCUGGCUUUGUAAAAAUAUGCUUAUAAGAAAAAGGUUGAAACUUUCAACUGCAGCUAAGUUUUGUUCUCCUAUAUGCUGAAUUUUAGACUCAUUCAUUUCCAAAACCAGACUAUCACCCACCCAAUAGAUUAAUUAGUGGUUCAUACACCCUGCAAAGUGGUUUAUUGACAAAGACUUUUCUCGACAAAGACUUCUUAUUUUGUUAAAAAUAAAAUUUUGCAGCCCUCAAUUAUUGGUGAGAUCUCUGAUUCAGUUGUGACACAAUCCCACAAUGCCAAAGGCAAUACAGUUAGUUCAUGAACAGUACCAGAUUCCUUCUCCGAAAGAGGGGGUGGGGUUUGGCAGACCCCUACCUGUUAAUUAAAAUAUAGCAAUGAAAAUCUUUUGAGGAGGACAUUGGGCCUUACCUCUUACAAAAUUAAACAUCAGGAGUUGCCUAGGCCUAAACAAAACAUUACAACUAAAAUUGAAAGCAAUAGAAAGUCAGCUCCUAGAAAAUGCGCCAAAAGCUGAAGAGCUUUGAAUAGGUGGUUGGGGAUGUCAAAAUAUAACACCUUGCUCCCAUCUCCCCACUACCUAUUCCUGCAGACAUCUGUAGACCAUGUCUUCCUCCUUCAUUGCUUCUUCUGAUUCCACUACAAGUGUGAAUAUUGCUCUGGUUGAGGAUCAAGUCUAUGAGGCAGUUAGGCGAUCUCUGUGUCCUUUCCACUUUGAGGGUUUUGAGGACUUCCAAGCUGGGGUAAGUGAGUUGGCUGAGGAUGUUGGUGGAGUUGUCGCUGAGAUAAGAGAUUUCAUGUUUUCUGUAUCCCUCAACCUCCUGCCAAGGUUGGGAUUGAGAACUGGAAUCGGCUUGAGGAAUGGUUGGGAACGGAAACUGGGGAGUGGGUUAGAGCUCUUUGUAGGCCAUGGUGCUAUUAUGUUAGGUAUGGGAUUGAAACUUGUCAUUCUUGCAGAGAAGCAUCUACUGUUCCUGGGUUUGGGUAUGUUGAGGCUGAGAAUAGAGAUGAUGUUGCUGAAGAGGCUGACCAAGAGGAGGCUAAUGUUCAGGGAAAUGCUGGAGCUGGAGAGGUUGAAGAUCCUGGUCCUUCUGAUAAUGAUAGUGGUGAGGAGAGGAAGGCCAAGAAACCAAGAGUCUGAAGUUAUGCUAAUCUGAGUAUUCUGUAAUCUGUUUGUUUGAUGUAUUCUCCUUUCGAUGUAGUAAACUCUCAAUCUCCUCCAAGGAAUUGAGCUAUAGUUUUGCAAAUCUGAAUUGAGGAAUAUUGUUCUUAUCUCCAUUUAGAAUUUGUAGAAAUUCUGCAUCUUGAUGUCUAUUCACUGCUCCAUCACAUUGUAGUUUAAUUCCCAUCUUAGACAUAUAAUCUGCUGCAGAAUUUCCUUCCCUGUAUACAUAUAUGGUUACAUAUAAUCUCCAUUCCUUUUGCAAUUGUGUGAAUUUGUUUCCACCAUUUAACAAGUGACCAUGGAAUGCUUGCCUGCUUGUGGAACCAUAGGAUUGUAAGACUUGAAUCAGCUUGUAGGUGUACUCUAUUGUGUCCCAGCCAUAAGCAUAGCUUCAGACCAUCUAAUAUGGCUCUUGUUUCUGUCAGGUUAUUGGUUCCCUGUCCAUAGAAAGAGAAAAAAUUUGCCACAUGUACCCUCCUGGGUUCUAAUAACUCGCCCACCAAAAGCUACUCCAUCCUGACAAGCCCUAUCUGUGUUCAGUCCAAUGAAGCCAUCCUGAGGUCUACUCCAUAGGACUAGGGUUGGUAUUGAGAGUGGAAGAUUUUUGGGGCUUAUCUUUAGAACUUGAGCAGCUUCCUCAAACUUCUGACAAGAUCUUUUGUUUGGGACAUAGUGCUCACACAACCUUGCAAGCCAGAACUUGAUUUUCAAAAUAAUCUGCUUGCUUGCAUGUUGUGAGUGUUUAUAUCCAUCUUCAUACCUCCUACUGCAUCUCUCCUUCCAUAUUUCCCAUAGAAUAAAAAGAGGAGUUAGGGUACAGCAAAGGAACUCCAUGGAACCAGACUUACUCUUUUUAAACCAGCUUCCAAGUAGUGCACCAAAAUUGUAGAACCUUAGAAGCUUGAUGUCAAACAGACCGUGGAAAAAGUUCCAAACUGGUCUGGCCAGUUCGCUCCUUAAGAACAGAUGUGAAGAAGAUUCCAUUGUAUGAGUCGCACAACAGCUGCAUCUAGAUACCAUGUGAAUAUAACAUUUCAUAACACCUACAUCUGUUGGAAUGGCACCAUUUAGCAACUUCCAUAUAAAGAAAGAGAUUUUUGUUGGCACAAAGUGGUGCCAAAUUCUCUUCAUGACCGGAAAGACAGGCUUUGAUUGAUGGCACAAAUGCACAUAAGAUCUGAUAGAGAACUCUCCAGAAGAGGUGAAAGGCCAGAUUCUUCUAUCCCUUUGUAUAUCUUGAUGGAGAGUGCGAUAUGCAUCUCUUAAAACCACCCUUUGUUCUUGAGUGAAUAUAGGGAUGUUAAAAUCUGCAUCUUUUGCCUCUUGUAGAGAAAGUCCUGCAAAAAUCCCUGGCUCAAUAGCUGGCACAAUGCAUCCUUCUUCCAUCCAGUUUUCACCUAGCACAUUGAACUGGAUCAAUUUUAUGCUUUUGAGUGAUCUGUGCUUUAUGUACUUGUCUCUCAUGAACUUGGCCCAAAGAGUGUUUGAGUUGACCAAGUUCCAUGUGGAUUUCAUUCGAUAUGCUUUCAGGACCUGCUUCAAUGGCCUGAUUCCCAGGCCUCCUUCCUCAAUUGGGCAAGUUAUCUUAGACCAAGACACCCAUUUCCUUUUCCCUUUGAAAUCAGAGCUCCUCCACAGGAAAUUAGAAAAAAAGUGAUUCAAGUAUCCUGAUCACUAUUUUGGGUACAGAAAAAGCCGAGAAGAGAUAGAUGGGCAUACUCUGAAGGACAUGCUUGAGCAGAAUUAAUCUUCCUCCAUGUGACAACAUUUUCUUCCUCCAUCCAUCCAUCGUAUUUCUUACUUUUGUAAUAAGUCCUUCAAACUAUUUUGUCUUGGCUUUUUCUUGAAAAAUAGGAACUCCUAGGUAUAUCAUUGGAGAUUCUUUAUUUCUGAAGCCUGUGGAAUGUUGCACCAUAAGGAUUCUAUCCAUAGGGGUCUUUGUUUCCCUCACAAAUGUACUCUUUGAGGCAUUUAUUUUCUUUCCAGAACAUCUGCUGUAGCGUUCUAGAAAACUCAUGCACCCCUCUAUCGAACUUUUCCUGCCAUUUAAAAACACGAGAGUAUCAUCAGCAUAUAAGAGAUGAGUAAUAGGGUCACAACUUCUAGGAGUAGUGUAAGUGCAUAUCUUUUCUACUUGAAACUCCUGGAUUAACUCUCUACUCAAGACUUCUAAAGCUAGGAUAAAAAGGAAUGGUGACAAAGGGUCACCCUGCCUGAUCCCUCUGGACGAUUUGAAACUGCCUUUAUAGCUCCCCUAAAACAAGAUAGAAAAUGUGCACUGCUCUAUACAGGAGGAGAUCACCUGAAUCCAGUUGGCAGAAAAUCCAAAGUUAGCUAACACAGAUUUGAGAUAUUGCCAUUCUAUUCGACCAAAAGCUUUCUCCAUGUCUAAUUUCAUUACCAAAUUUCCACCUUGAACUUUCCUGCCAAUGUUUUGCAUCAUUUCCUGGGCUAGACCUACAUUCUCAGUAAUCAGUCUACCUUUGACAUAGGCGCCCUGCUGGGGAGAGAUAAGCUUAGGUAAAAUGCUUGUAAGCCUAGAUGUGAGAAUUUUGGAGACUAUCUUGUAACUGACAUUACACAAGCUGAUAGGUCUGAACUCUGCCAAGGUUGUUGGAGUGUCCUUUUUUGGAAUUAAACAAAUGAAAUUGGCCAAAAAGGAUGUUGGAAGACUGGCGCCUUGGAAAAAUGCUUGUAUAGCAGCUACAGUAUCCUUCUUAACUAUCUCCCAGCAUUUCUGGUAAAAAAGGGAGGUCAAGCCAUCAAGACCUGGUGCACGAUCUGGUGCAAUUCCAAAGACAGCCUCUUUUAUUUCCUCCUCAGAUGGUAUAUCAUUAAGCAUAAGAUUAUCCUCCUCUGACAUUAAAGGCUUGAUCACUCCCAUAAUAUUCUCAUCCCUUUGCCACCCCUGUGAUGAAAGUUGAGCAUCAAAAAAUUCAACUGCUUUGGUGUGAAUCUCUUCUAGGUCACUGCACCAUUGGUCUGGCUCUUCUGUGAGUAAAAGUUUAUCCACCACAACUUUCCUUCUUGCAACAACAGAGGUAUGAAAGUACGUUGUAUUUUUUUUCCACCUCCAUCAACCAUUUUUCUCCAGACUUUUCCUUCCAAAACUGUUCUUCUUGGAUCAAAGCUUGUUGAUAUAGUGCUUGUUGUUUCUUCAGCUCUAUCCAUACCUCCAUAUCCCAGGAAGCUAUCAGAGAUUGAUCUAGUUCCACUAUCCUGUCCUCUGGUGCCUUGAUCUAUUGCUGAAUAUUACCAAACACAUGCUUGUUCCACCAUUUUAGCCUAGAUUGAAUGUUCCUGAUCUUUACCUCAAACAUGUGUAUGGGGAGUGGAGAAUACCCAGCUGAAUCCCAGUUGUCUUGGAUGAAUUGCAUGAAGCCUUCAUGAGAGAUCCACAUUUUUUUAAAUCGAAAUGGGUGUUGCUCAUUCCCAUGCUUCUUGUUUUUACCCCUAACAAUCAAUGGCAAGUGAUCAGAGUUGACCCUUGGCUCAUGCAGCACCUCAAUGGGUGGAAACUCAUUUGCCCAGAUUGUGAUUGUAAAAACUCUAUCUAGUCUAGCCCAACGUCUUCUUGUGCCCUGCUGAUUGUUACACCAAGUAUACUUUGAUCCAAUGUAUCCACAAUCCAUAAGACCACAAUUAAGAACAAAGUUAUUGAAGUCUUCUAUCGAGUUGAGAGAAGCUUGUUCCCCUCCAAGUCUUUCAUCCAAGGACAAAACUUUGUUAAAAUCUCCUCCUAUAAUCCAUGGAGUUGUUGCAGAAGCCCCAAAGUUGAAAAGGUUCUGCCAUAAGAGCCUCCUCUCUACAUUUGGACACUUAGCGUAUACAAAAGAUGCUAGAAAGGAUUUUUGGGAAGUGGUAUGAGUGAUGUGUAGGUUACAAGCUUGGCUGCAUUCACUAAUCUUCUGAACAACAAGUUGAUCAUUCCAAAAAAUCCAUACUUUGCCUUGACUAAGGUCAUUGGACGUGUGAUCUUGUAAACCCAUCGAAUUAGCCACCCUACUUAAUUUCCUGAUAUUGAUCAUAGGCUCCAGUAUAACGAACAUAUAUAAGGGGAAUGCUCUCUGAUAAUUUUCUUAACCCUUCUCAUAGUUGGCUUAUUCCCCACUCCUCUUGCAUUCCAUAUAGUUAUGGCUUGCAACAUUUAAAACUAUGGGGCUUUGAGGAUUGGGGGGGUUGGCUUUUUGACCUUGUCAUCAUGCCUGAACUUUUGGGAGGUAGGAGAGCCCUACCCCUUCUUCUAUUAUCCACUUAUGCAUCUGAUCAUAUAAUUUCCAAUUCUUGACUCUCAAAAUCUUGAUCAAGGUCUUGAGUUUCCAAGGCUUGGAGCUGGUGAAGAUCAUAUCCAGUUUCUUGAGCGAAAGGGAUGAUUUCUGUAUGUUGCAAUGUUAUAGGAGGCUCCAUCCCAGUGCUCUCAGUCCUCUCACAUGAUGAUGGUGGGGCAAUGAUAAUAGCCAGGGGGUUGAGGUCUUUCCUAGAGUUGUCAUCUUGCACCGCUGGUGGAGUGCCAGGGAAUUGAUUUUGCAAAUUGACCCCUUCAAUCUCUGGAUUUGCUUGGGAGGUAGCUUGGGAGGUAGUACCCGCUUGCCCGUUUGGUGCUUCUUCUUCCUCUAGAUUCGCUAACAACCCAAAGGCGUUUUGAGGGGUUAUAUUGGUCUUAUCGGCUGACAAAGUUGCCAGAUUAUCUGAGGUUUCUGGAGUCACUUCCUCCAAUGGUUGAAUUACCUUUUCUUUACCUUUGUCAGCUGGAAGCAUAUCGAGAUCCACUUCCUCUCCAGGGACGUCCUUAGUUCCACUAGUUCCAGCUUGUAAGUUGGUACUUCUGAUGACAAGCCUGUAGUAUUGUUUCUUUCUCUGUUGUAGCCAGAUAGGGUUUCCAUUUUUGGGAACAGCUAUGUUUGAACCAGAGUGUACUUCUUUAGCUUUUCCUUUCUCCAUGGUUUUCUGUUUUCUUCUACUGCAGUUUUCCAGUGCAUGCCCAAUUUUGCAACAAUGUGAGCAGUAUAAGAAGUUAGGGUAAUGAAGGUAUUGCCAGAAUCCAGCAAAGUUAGCCCCUUCUAUCCAUAUAGACUCUGGCAUAUCCUCUUGCACAUUCAUCUCUACACAGAUUCUAGCCGCACCAGGUUUGGUUCUAAGAAUAGUAUCCUUAGCAAUAGACAAGAAUUUUCCUAUGUUAUCUCCAAUGGCUUUGAGGGUUGUUGGAUGGAAAAAAUCCAAGGGUUGCACAUUCAUCUCUACACAGAUUCUAGCCGCACCAGGUUUGGUUCUAAGAAUAGUAUCCUUAGCAAUAGACAAGAAUUUUCCUAUGUUAUCUCCAAUGGCUUUGAGGGUUGUUGGAUGGAAAAAAUCCAAGGGGAGUCCAGGAAGAUCCACCCAUACAGGAGCCAAGGCAAGCACAUGCCUGGGAUCACGCAGUCCCAUGGUAAAACCCCCAACCACAUUCCAUUCCCUGGUGAUGCAUCCUUGAGAGAAAGCUUUUGUAACUUCUUCUUCUAAAUAAUGAGGAGAUAAGAUUCUGUCCACGUUCUAUAGCUUCUCGACUGAAAGAGAUAGCCAGUUUUCCGUCCUUUUUGAAGGUACGAUGGUUCGCAGGUGUCAGAUCAAGAGGUUUAGGUAUUAUCUGCUUAAAAAGAGACUCAAAAGAAGGAUUAGUAGAUGAACCAAACAAGGCUCCUUCGUUCCCUGCUUGUUCCGAGGUGAUAGCCAUGACAAAGAAGACUCGAAACCCUUAAAAUAACAGAGAACGCAAAAAUCGCCCAAAGUUUUCAUCCAUUAUUAGGGUUUUAAGGUUUUCUCAUAGAUUCCUUCUAUUUGUGUUCCCCCUGCAGCAAAUUGCCUCAAACUCAAUGUGGACAUCACUUUCACAACUCCAACUUAUAAAUAUGGUAUUAGAUAUGUUGUUAGAGACUCAGCAAGUCAGUUUGUCAUGGCAGGAAUAGGGACAACUUAUGUUGGAUCGACAGGUGCAGCAGAUGUGUAAGCGGUCUUUCUGCCUAGAUCUUGAGAUCAGUGAGGCCAAUGAAGAAUGGUUUAACUCCUUCGUCAUCAUCUCUGUUACCUGUAAAAUAUUCCGGGGUUGUUCCCGACGUUAGCACUCCAACGCUCAAGUCAGAUAGUGUAGAUGAAGAGAAGAAGAAAGAGAAAAUGUGUUGAGUGAAGUGAUGGAUCAUACCUUGUGUUUAGGGUUUUGCCCCUUAUAUACUAUUCAUACCGUGUAUGUAAUGUAGGCUGUGAGAUCUUAGAAGAUCUGACAGUUGUGAUGUAGAGACGUGGAAUUCUGCCUUCCAAGUAUUCUCUGUCAUGACUCAUCUCACGUGAUUGCCACGUGAGCCGUACAGUCUGUUUUGUCUGAGUGAACCUACAUCGCAAGCUAUUUUACUAGGUUGAUUCGUUAGAACCGAGUAACUCGUGGAAUCUGGUAUAAUUAUGUACUUACAUCGCCCACUUCUCUGGGCUGACGGAUUUCUCGUCUGCCAAGAGAAAUAUAGCCACAUGGAAUUAUAAAAAAUUCCAUAGAGCUCAGUGUUCGCGGAGCUCCCAGAGUUGCAAAAUAAAAUAGUGUCGAACGUUAAAGAACUGUCGUACCUGACAGACUUCCUGGUUGAGUUCAAGUCGAGAUCUCGGUCCUACUGGAAUACUGUGCGAGAAUUUUUCAUAAACAUACAAUAUAUAAUAAUGACUUAUAAAUUAAGCUUCAAUGUUACCUCUAGAGAAACUAUACAGUUCUCCUUGUAUUAGUGUAUUAGUCUGUUUUCACGGGCAUGGUGAAAAAAAUAAUAAACUGCCUGCGCUAGCAAAGUAGCUGCGUACGUACCCAAAUAGGGAUCAAGCCACCGUAGUUCUGUUUGUCAGGCGUGUCUGCCUUAGUUUGCUGAUAGCUAGUUUUUUUUUUUUUUUUUUUUUUUUUUUUUUUUGUAAUGUAUAUGAAUGUAAUAGCGAUGUAUCUACCCUCUUUUGCUUACUCUGAUUUUUCUAUAAAUAGAGAAAAACAAAAAUAAAAUUAUAAAUAAGACAUACCGGUGUUACCGGCAUUGUCGGUCCUGUCGUUUGCUUGGAUUAAUAAGUAGUUCCAAUCUAUUUCAAACUACGGCGACUAUAAUAAAUGAACAAACCAUAUAGAAUUUGAGUGAUAGUUGAUCUUCUAGAUAUAACGGAGCACCACGCUUAAACUGAAAACUUUUUCAUCCUUAGAAAAUGUUGAAAUAAAAAAGAUCUUAUUAAAUGAUUCAAAUUAGAUUGUUGUCUGGCAGACGCAGAAUGACAUCCUUGAACUUGUGGUAUAUCAAAAUACUGGAAUUGUAAUCCGUAUUGAACGAGAGAACCGUGUAGUCUGACAAGAGUUUUGCCUUUUUAAAAGUAUAUUCAAUAUCAUCUAGGUUCCACGGAGUUGCCUUGUCAACCCAUAUAGUGUGCAUGUCGGAGUACACAGGGUGAUUUUCCCGAAGAAGAUGAUGAGAAAAUUCCAUAUCCUAAAAGACCAUUCACAAGGGAAUUUUUCCGAUAAAAAGAAACAACUCUGUACUCGCCCCCAAGUCUGUUACAUACGUAGAAUACAAUAAUGAUUCCCAAAUUAUAAUUGAGAAUGAAAAUAUUUACAUUAUCAAGUAGUCCUUAAAUCAGAACUUCAGAAGAUCAUGCUAAUAGUUGUCUGAGAAUAAACCUUCACAUGAAAAUAUAUGAAACGUGAGACUGUUACUGCUGCAAUGGUUGUAUGCUCAGAGUAUAUUGAACGUGUUGUGUAUUGGCUCGCAAUGCGCAGGAUCAUAGCUUAUAUUAAGUGAGGUUUAUAGGAUCAAAUCUUAUGUUUGUUUCUAGAAACAAUGUAUAUAGGAAUUAUACUCUUAUAAGUACUUGGUAUUCUAAUUGGUAAUUGGUAUUGUUAUCCAAUUUGGAUCCUUGUAUGGCCGGAUUAGGAACUCUUGGGUAUUAUAUACUCAACUAGUUGGCUAUUGUAAAAUGGUGGUAAGAAGAAAGGGUGAACCAAAGGUGAAAGCAUUACUAGAUAGAGAGAGAGAGAAGGGGAAAUUUAUGAAGGUUUUCAUAAUAGGGUUUCUCAGGUUCUAGUGUAAGAGAGAAAGAGACAAGGAAUUAUAGAUUUGUAAUAAGGUUUUUUCUUUUCUUGAUUAGUGAAAUCUUCUUGAUCGGUUGCCGGGUGGGGUAGGCGGGUUUGCCAAACCACGUUAAUAUUGGUGUUAUUGUGUGUGAUUAUGUUUUUUUGAUUACUUUCUCUGUUAUUUGUUAUUAUCUAGAUUAUCGGUAUUACAACUAAUCCUUGGGUUAAGCUUCUAUUGCACAACAAGUGGUAUCAAAGCAAGGUUCUAGGUUGUAGCGAUUUUCGAGAUGGCGCAAAGGGUUUCAAGUUUAGGUUUGAAGUUUGAUGUAGAAAAGUUCGAUGGAAAGAUGAAUUUUGGUUUGUGGAAAGUACAAGUCCAAGAUCUCUUGGUACAAUUAAUCCGGGCUACACAAAGCAUUAAAGGAAAACCGGCGGAUAUGUCAGAUGAUUUUUGGGAAGAAUUUGAUUUGAAGGGUAUUAGUGUGAUUCGAUUGUGUUUAACGAAUGAGGUCUUGUCAAACGUUCUCACAGAAAGUUCUUCGGUAAAACUUUGGUUAAAGCUUGAAAGUUUGUAUAUGACAAAGUCGUUAUCAAAGCAAUUGUACCACAAGAAGCAACUUUACAGAUUGAGAAUGGCAGAAGGUACAGGUAUUAAUGAAAUCUCAGUGUCUUCAUAACAUGCUUUCUGAAUUGGUUCAUGUUGGAGUGAAGUUAGAGGAUGAAGAUAAAACACAUCUACUUCUGAACUCCAUGCCCCAAUCCUAUAAGCAUAUUAUCACCACGUUGCUCUAUGGAAAGGAAACUCUGGAAUUGGAAACUCUCGAAAAUUCUUGCGGGGUUUUGUUCCUUUCUUCAUCCUCUUCAAAUCUAUACCAAAAUCCCCCAUUAUCAUGCCUCCUAGACGUAGAGAGAGAGAGAGUGAUUAUCCGAGAGCGCGAUUACUCGCGUCUCUUCAAUGAUAAUCGAUUUGGGAGCACUUUUCUUGAGAGGAUUCAUGCCCGAGGCUGGGAUGUACUCCUUGGCUCAGACUAUGAGCCAUUUGAUCCUCAAAUGGAUCGUCAUUUCUAUGAGUCAAUGGAGUUGGCCGAUGACGGCGUGUUCAUCAACUGGGAUCCUGCCCAUCGUUACCUGCUGACGCCUGAGACUGUCUCCAUAGUCACGGCGCUAGAGAUGGACGAGGCUCCACUGCAGCAGGAGGCUCCACCGGUGACACCAGACGUCAUCGAGGCCGUCCUUGGAUGAUUUGGUGCUUCAUCGGUAUAGCAGCCAUAUCUCGAUCUGUUGGCUCCGAGUCAACCAAGGCUUGGUGGCACACUGGCUGACCACCAAUGUCCUUGGGACGAUAAGGACGAGCGAGCUAUUCUCGGAGGGUAUCCAUAUCCUCCACCUGCUUCAGGAGGAUGUCUAUGGCUACUGUAUGGUCCGCCGUCUUUUUGCGACUAUCACCAGUGCCCGAGCCACUUCUGCUCCACUUCCUAGCCUGGUGAUGGCUAUUCUGCGCUACUGGGAGGCGCCUCUUCUUCCUGCACUCUCUCUGGAGUCGGUCGUCCGACUCGAAGUCUCCAACCCUGGGCUGUCAGCCUGUCGACAGCUGUUGUGGGACCCACAGGCAGAGGUGCCCGUCCAGUACAGGCCCGGGGACCAACGGGCGUUCUUUUCACUCCAUACCAACGAGGAGCGGUUCCAGCUUCUCUGGAGGGGUAUGGGUGAGAUUUUGACUGCAGUCGAGGACUUGCAGCGUCGCUUCGAUGAAAGCCAAGGGCAAUCUCGUCGUCGACGGGGUUGAUUUUCAUUUUUGUUAUUAGCCAUUGUAUUUUGCUUAUGUAUUUUAUUUUGAUUUAGCACUCUUGUAAUAAAAUUUUCGAUCAUUGUACUUUAUUUCAAAAAUUUAAUGAAAAUGGUUGAAAUUUGAAUUAUCUUGUCAACUUGUCCUUUUAUGAGAUUUUUAGCCAUUCUUGGGCUUUAUUGCAAAAUUUUUGACUCUUGGAGUAAAUUUUGAAAUUUUUUUGGUCCUAGGGACCUUAGUCCAAAUAUUUUUAUUAGAAAGGAAGUUAGGGUUUGAUUUUUUGGAAACCCUAUGGUAUUAGGCAACUUUUGGAGUCCUACUAGGGCUCAAACUCUUAAAAUCUAGCCUGUAUAUACCACACCAUAGUUAGAGGACCGUCACUUAAAAAAAUCAGAUUUCAAAAAGUUUUUUAUUUUCUGGUUUUGGCCCGAACUCGACUCGAGUUCCUUAUAGGCCAUUUCAAUCUCGACUCGAGAUUGGACCUGGUAGCAGUUUUCUGGGUUUGUUUUGAGUGAUAUUUUCUCGGUUUUCGUGCUGGUUUUUGGUGUUUUCUUCCUUCUUUUGCAAUGGCUAAAGAUCAGAAUGAGUUGUGGAUGAUCGAUGGCAUGGACAUCGUCCCCGAGAUGGAUUUUUCGGGAAUUAUGGAUAGUCCUUAUGGAGCUUCCUUUAGGGAUGGGAUUUUCGACAAAGGUUGGGAAGGUUUUCUUUAUGAUUCUACUGCUGUGUAUUCCCCUUCUAUGGUAAGAGACUUUUACCGUACGUUCCCCUUUGGUAAUGUUAUUCCCUUUGAUGGUUUCAGAGUUACUAUGCAUGGGUUCCCCGUCUUAAUCAAUUCUUUUGCCAUCCUCGGGCAUUGGGUGUUCCACUCCAAUUGCAACCUGUCUAUUCACAUCCUGAUUACUUCCUUUCCAAUCAUGUUGACAUGUUGGAUAAUUACCUAGAUCACUUUGGCCCUUGCACUUUUUCCUUCCAUCCUGAGAACUAUGCUAAUGUGGCGCCUACCAUUUGCCUACCUGCUAAUGUAGCUAUUGCUGCUUUUAUGAGUCAUGAGAAAUCUCUUAGGUUGGACUAUGUCAAUGAUAACACUAUGCAUGUUGUUUACGGUAUUGUUAAUAAUUUUAGAGCUCUUGACAUAGGUUCCUGGUUAAUGGAUGGCAUAAGAAAUAUUUUUGGGAUCGGUCAGCUAAUUUACCCAACUGCUAUCUGUAAGAUAAUUCUUAAUACCUAUCCUGAUUUGAGGACUAGGUAUAAUGAUUGGACUCACCUUAUCCCUAUGGAUCCUACACACCGUUAUAUCAGGAAAGGUCGCCUAUUCACAUGGGUGCCUAAUACUAUAUAUGUAGAGUUUCCAGAGUUGCAUCGAAAUGAUAAUUUUAUGGAUAAUGGUGAGGGAUCUUGGAAUGUGGUCAAAGAGGCAUUAACCCUAUGGCGUGAUGAGAUGGAUGGUUUGCCAAGGAAGGUUGCUUGAAAACAUGAGUGUAAUGUAGGAUUUCCUUUUUUCUUGAGUCAGUCCUUUAUUUCAGUAUAUUUUAUUUCAGUUGUGUCAUAGUAUGGAGUUCCUCGUAAUCUCUAUAUAGAGAUAAUUUUGUUUGACAGGAAUUUAUAAAGCGGUUUGAAUUUUUAGCACACUCAUGGUAAUAUUUUUCUCUCUCUCUUUCCUAUGCUUAGUAUGAGCCUUGAGGACAAGGCAAUCUCUUUGUUUGGGGGUGGGGAAGUAUUUCAAUCCUUUUUGCAAAAGAUUUUCAAACUUCUUUGUCCAUACUUAUGUAAAAAUUCAAAAAAAUUGAGAAAAAUCAACAAAAAUUCUUUCUUUACAAAGACUUUUUUCAAAAAUAGGAUAAGUACACCAUCAUUGAUGAACAUAAUGGUUGAAUUUCAUUUCAAGUUUAAGGACACUUAUUGUUUCACCAAGUAGUUGAGUCUUAUACUACAUUUGCAUGAGCAUAAGCAUGACAUUCAUAUGUAUUUAUUAUAGAUUACAUGUGCAAAUACGACUACACCUUGAGAAACUUGAGGAAUAAGUGUAGAGACUUAACCCAGUGAGCUUUUGUGCCCCGUCCUUUUCUUGGAGAGUUAUCACGUACAUCUGGAGUCAAAAGACUCAACCUCUCAGUUUUUUCUGUUUUUAGUCUCAUAUUCAUUUUUAUAGUUAGCUUUGAGAUGACAUCAAGUGGGUGUAAUAUAAACUUGGGUCUUGUAGCUUAUUCAAGAUGUGAUCACCAUAUAAGUACUUAGAGAUGAUACAAAGACCUUUAGAUAAACCCUGUUUACCUUAGCCUACCCUGAUGACAUUUUAUUCCCCUAGGUUAACCAUUCUGAGCCUUUCCUUGUUACUUAGCCUUUUUCUUGAGCCCAAUAUCCUUACCCAACUCCAUUGUAGGAGUAAAUACCCUUAGAAGGUUUUAGGUCUUUUUACCUAUGUUUUGGGAACAUAGGGAUGAUUGUUUAUGUGGUUACAAAAAGAAAUGAGAAAUACAAAGAAAUCUCCAAACUAGUGAGAUGAACCAAAUGUUGAAAAUCAAAAGUUUGAAGAAAUUCCAGAAAAAACCAGAAUCUUCCAAACAAUUCCAAAUCCAAAAAGAAAGGAAGAUUCCCAAAUAGGCUAGAGCUUCAUUGAAAUUUUCCAAAAGAAUAAAAGAAACACUUCUUCCAAAAGAAAAAUUUCCAAAAAUUUCUCCAUGUGCUAUUAUUACAAAUCACAAGUAUUGAAGGCCCGAAUGUUCCAAAAAUGUUUCACAAAAGCCUGUGCCAUUUCUAGCUCUGUCCUAAGCCAAGUUACAACCCAUUACUGUCUUUAUAGAUCUAAGCUGAUAUGGUAGGAUGUGGCGAGUAAGUGAGAAGAUGCUGAGGUGAAAAACCCGACAUCUCAAGUAAGGCUAAUUUUUCCAUCCUUUGAGACUAAGUUCAUUCCAUUACACCAGUCCGUUCUUAUAUAUAUGUGUAAGAUGAUUGUCCAUCUUCUUUCCUCACAUAGAGGUAAAAUGAUAAACACCAUCUCUGAGUGAUUUUAUUUCUGAGUGUAUCACUAUGAGGCAGAAGUCAAAGCGACUUUUUCAAAGGUGACUUAAGACCCAUGGUAGUAUGGGUACAUGCCUGUACUCGAUGCAUUUGAAACUAUCAUGCUUGGUUUAUAUUUCAUAUCUUAUUCAUGCAUUGGUAGUAUGUUAUCUCAUAUGAGCGGUUUAGCAAUACUUAUCCUUAUCCUUGAUAUGACCAUUUCUGAGGUACAUGGUAGAAAAUUCUAUUCUUGAAUUAGUCAUUGUAGUAAGUUUGUGGGUACCUUCUCUGGAAAACCCUCAGGAGACUAUAACUCCUCCACUUGGGAAACCCUUGUGGUUGAAAGCCUUGAUGCAUAUGGUUAAUGCAAUCACCUUAGUUAUACUUCUCUUUUGAGUUCCUUAUUCUUUCUUCUCAUCUUUGCUUGAGGACAAGCAAAGUGUUGUUUGGGGGUAUUUGAUCGGACCUCAAAAGUGUAUAUUUAUCCCCCGAAUAACACAUUGUUUGUCUAGCACUUAGCUUAUAUUAUUGUAUUAUAUCUAUUGAUUAGUGCAUUAUUGUCUUUAUGUAGGUUUUAUGAGCCGAAAUGCGAAUAUUGUGUAAAUGCCCGCAAAAAGUCGAGAAAAGCAAGCAAAGAGGUGUUAUUUGCACAAGGGAAAAGAAUGGAUAUUUGCACCCGUGAAAUCUGCUAAGGGCACCCCGCGGUCAACUCUGGUCGACUAGGUUGAGUUGACUUUUUGGUCAACAUUGACUAAGGUUGACUUUUUGGUCAACUUUGACUUUGGUCGACUUUUGGGUCAACUGCUGCUGACCUAUGUUGACUUUCGGUCAACUGUUGACUUCUGAAGACUUUGGGUCAAAUCUGUUGACUCACGUGGACCGGACUUCCUAUUUUGGGUCUUGAUCUUAAAAAGGCUCUACAAGAAGAACCAGAAGUCCGAUUGGGGCCCAUGAGAUAUCAAACUGAAGGUCUUGGCCCAAGCUACUAUUCUGGCCCAAGAGGAUUAGGUUUUGCUGAUUGCCUAAUCCUUCUAAGAGGCCAACAGCAGCAGCCACGAAUUUCACUAAGUUAGGAAGUCUUUGCAUGCAAGUAUUCCAUUAUGUAAUAGAUAUAUAAGAGAAGUUGUAACUAGGGUUUACUAUCUAUCUAGAAUCUCUUUUAGAUCUUGAUCUUCUAGCCUCCACUUGAAGAUCAACUUUUGUAUUCAAUUCAAUCAAUAUCAAUCCAUGAAUUCUUUUAUGAUGUUCUUUGAUUUAAUUAUUUGUUCUUUUGGUAUGAGUAGCUAAAUCAUCAUGGGGGGAAGGUGGAAGCUUUCUAGGUGAUGUAAAAGUAUUAUGUUGUUUCUUCUUAUUCAUUGUGAUUCAAGGUUCUUAAUGUUUACUUAUCUCUAAUUCGCGAUAUGAGGUGAGUAUGGUUAUUUGUAUGCUAUUGUUAUCCAUGGUGUUAAAUAUUAUUGUUAGAAUUUAGGGAGACCUACUUUUGAUAAUAGUAUUAUAUUUAUUGUAGAUGUGUAGUGAAAUAGCUGAGAGGUGAUUACUGUAUUUUUGUUAUAUUUAUCUUUUAUUGGAACCCUUUCAUGAUUAAAUUCAAAGAGGUGAGGAUUUGAUUAAUGAAGCAUAUUCAAUAACAUGCAUCAUAGAAUCCCGUUUUAAUUAGAGUCAAUAGCUGAGAGGUGAGGAUUUGAUUAUUAUUGGUAUUAAUAACUAAUAGGAAUAGCUGAGAGGUGACUUGUUAGUUGUUAUAGAUUGAAUAUGAAGAACAUCAUGAUAUAAUUGCAUAACCUAGAUUGUGGAAACCUACUACUCCCCCUAUGUCAUCAUAUUAUCUUCUUUUCCAUAUCUUCCAUAUUCUUAAGUUAGGUUUAAUUAUUAUUUAUUGUCUGUAGGAAGUAGAAUCAAUUCUCUAACUAUUAUUAUUGAUUCAUUGAUGUUUCUUAAUUAUUGUUCUUAAUUGUGUUUGAGCUAAGAUUUCCCCCUCUGAGGUGGGUACGACCCUUGCUUGUUACUUGUCUACUUUGAUCUUCAAUUUAUACAGGCACAAGAAGAAAAAUCUUUUAAUCUAAUCUUUUGAUACACAAUAAGCGUUCAGUGCUCUUUUAUCUCAUGAAAUCAGAAAUAAAGGCAGAGACGAUGAAUCUCAUGGUGAGGGUUUGGUGAUUAAUGGGGGAUCACAGAAAGGAUUUAACAAGAGUAACAAGGCUCACAUAGAAUGUUGGAAGUGCGGAAAAUAGGGCACUUUAAACGGGAUUGUGAGAAAAAAGGUGGAGCGGUUUUGGCAAAUAGCUCCAAGUCAGGGAAAGGCAAGCAUAUUGCUAAUUCUGGCGAACAUGCUAAUCAAGUGCAGUUUGAUAAUGAAUUACUCUUGGUGACUAAUCAAGAAGAAAAUUUACAUCGGGAAUGGGUACUUGAUAGCGGUGUCACAAAACAUGUUUGUUCACAUAGGUCAUGGUUUGACAAGUAUGAAAGAUGUGAGGGUGGCUAGAUGUCGAUGUGUGAUGGCUCCAAGAAGUCGAUAGUGGGAGUCAGUAAUAUUCACAUCAAGAUGUAUGACGGGAGGAUACAUACUCUUGAAGGUGUUCGACAUAUGUCGAGUUUGCAAAGAGAACUAAUUUUUCUUUUCAAGAUAGAUUCUUUGGGUUACAAGUUCACUGGCAAAAGUUGAGUUAUAGACUUGUAGAGGUUUGCAAGGAUUCCAAUGUGAUUAUGAAAGGAGUCGCGAGUAGUAGUGGCUUGUAUAUACUAUUGGGUCAAACAAUAGUAAGAUCUAGAGUUGGUCCUAAGGCAGGCGAGGUGAUGUUUAAAUCACAGGGUUCUGUUAUGAACAAGGUGGCUGUAGAAGGAAGGAACUCAAGAAAGGGAAAGAUGGUCAGCAAGUGGAUUCCUGUCGGUCAAUCAUAAUUGAUUGGGCACCUAAAAGGGUGGAGGCGACAACGUGGAUCAAGAAGGUUUCACGGGUGCAAGUGGAGUCAACAAUAAUCAAGUUCAUUGCCUCGCCAAGGUGGAGAUUGUUGUGUUUGGCUCGCAAUGCGCAGGAUCAUAGCUUAUAUUAAGUGAGGUCUAUAGGAUCAUAUCUUAUGUUUUUUUCUAGAAACAAUGUAUAUAAGAACUCUACUCCCAUAAGUACUUGGUAUUCUAAUUGGUAAUUGGUAUUGUUAUCCAAUUUGGAUCCUUGUAUGGCCGGAUUAGGAACUCUUGGGUAUUAUAUAUACUCAACUAGUUGGCUAUUGUAAAAUGGUGGUAAGAAGAAAGAGUGAACGAAAGGUGAAAGCAUUACUAGAUAGAGAGAGAGAGAGGGGGAAAUUUAUGAAGGUUUUCAUAAUAGGGUUUCUCAGGUUCUAGUGUAAGAGAGAAAGAGACAAGGAAUUAUAGAUUUGUAAUUAGGUUGUUUCUUUUCUCUGAUUAGUGAAAUCUUCUUGAUCGGUUGCCGCGUGGAGUAGGCGGGUUUGCCAAACCACGUUAAUAUUGGUGUUAUUGUGUGUGAUUGUGUUUUUUUCGAUUACUUUUUCUAUUAUUUGCUAUUAUCUAGAUUAUCGGUAUUGCAACCAAUCAUUGGGUUAAAGCUUUCGUUGCACAACAGAACGUGGCAGAGAGAUCAGCUAAGUGACUAUCGGCUAGCUACCACGGAUUUUACCAACAUAUCCAGUAAUGUUAUCAAAGUUGACGGAAUAGACGGGGUGUGUGGAAUGAUUAGAAUAAUCCAUACCCCUUUCGAUGUCCACGAUGGAUAUCCAACUAUGCAUCUGAAAAUGAUAUAACCAGAGUAGUCAGGAUACUCGGAGAGACUAAGUGGACUCAUACUUAACCGAGUAGCCGGAGUACUCGGAGAGAUUAUUGUGGAUGACUAUGUGUAGUCAUUAUGUAUCGUACGACCUUGUGAGGCGCUAGCAUGAAUUGAGUCAUGAUCUGAUAUGAUUGUUGACAUCUUUGGCAAUUUAUAAUUUUGAAACUUUUGUUGUUGCCUGGUUUCUCAGUCCGUGGGGACGAGCAGACUUGUAGCUAUUGUAGGAGCUUUUAUUUUCAAAUCACUCGUAUGGAGCUCUGAUUGUGCUGUGAAGCAUUUGCAGUGGAGAAUUCAUUCAAUCCCGUUACAGAAGUCAGUCUAGCCCUAUCGUCACAGAGGCUAGCUGUUUUGUCGGCUUGACAUGACUGACCUCACGGUCCUACUUCCAUCUUGGAAGGCUUCCCGCAAUGCUGAUGUUGCAGCCAUCAUGGGGUACGAGUAAGGGGGUAAGAGCUGCUAGGCGGGGCUAGCGUCGUGCCAAGACUUCUCUCUUACCAGCCAUAGUCGCCCCCAAGUAUUCAACUUGCUUCCUAAUCAGGACAUCCCAGCAAGACCGUUAGCAUGGCUCUUGGCGGGGUUGCAGCUAUGAAACAUAAGUGGAUAGAAUGAUAUAAAACAUGUAUGCCAGAAUGCGAAAACUCCAUAUUUGUAUACCAGAGUGCGACAACUCCAAGAUAAUUAUAUUUAUUAUAAUUAACAUUUGUAUGCCAGAGUGUGAAAACUCUAAGAUAAUUAUAUUUAUUAUAAUUAACAUUUGUAUGCUAGAGUGCAAAAAUUCCAAGACAUGUUAUUCCAAUAAGCAAUAUAACAUAAGCUUUUGCUAAUGAAGACAAUUUCGUGUGAACCGUGAAGAAAUAAUAUGAGCUCUAACAUUUUUGACCCCAAAAAUGCCGAAACUGAGUUAACCGUAGAUAAAUAAUAUAAGUUCUACCAGAAAUGACACAAUCGUGUGAACCAUAGAGAAAUUACAUGAGUUCAGGAAAAGAUGACACAGUCGUGUGAACUGUAGAGAAAUAAUGUGAACUCCAACAUUAAUGAUGCCAAAGUGAGGCAACUGGGUGAUCCAUAAAGAAAUAAUAUGAGUUCUGCCAAAGUUGACAUAGUCGUGUGAACUGUAGAGAAAUAAUAUGAGUUCCAACAUUAAUAACACCAAAGAUGAGGCAACUGAGUGAUCCCCAGAGAAAUAAUAAGUGUGUAACAUAAGCCUCUUGACUGGCUGAGUAGUCCGCCUAGAAAAGAUCUGUAACAUGAAUUACGCUAUAUGAAUGAACAUCAAGAAUGGCAUUGCCGAGAAAGAUUGGCAGAAAGAUCCAAUAAGUAAUUAAACAUAAGCUCUGGAUGCUAAGAGUUACAUGGCCGAGUAAACCACAUAGAAAUUUCCAGUCAUAACAAGUUCCAGUAACGCCAAUGAUGACAUGGUUGAGUGAACUAGUUGAGUGAACCUUAGAGAAAAUAAAUAUAAGUUCCCAUGUAAUAGAUGCCAAGAAUAUCGCGACUGAGUGAACCGUCUAGAAAAGAUCGAAUCAUAAUAAGCUCCAAUGAUGCCAAGAAUGACCUUACUUGGUGAACCUUAGAGAAAUUAAAUAUAAACUCCCAUAUAAUAGACGCCAAGAAUGUCACGACCGAGUGAGCCGUCCACUCUAGAGAAUAUAUACUUGUAUAAGAACAUUAGAAGAAUCUGUAUAAGUAGAAUACGAGACCAUGAAGCAGUUAGAGUUGAUAAUUAAAUUUUGUCAUAGAAACGACAUUUUUAGCCAAGUUGAACCUGCUCAUCUUUUAAAAAACAUGUAACCAAUAAUCUUUUCAAAGCAGAGAGUAUACUUGGCGUAAAACUAAAGUAACAUAAUCUUUGCCAAGAAUGACUUGACCGAAUGACCUUACAAAGAUACUCGUGUAUGAGCAUUUAGACUUGGUGACCUUUCGCAAGAAAGGCAACCAAUAUAUUUAUGUAUAUAAUACGAUGAAAACAUAUUUAACUUCACAAGACUUAAGCAUGUAAAUGCAUUAUUGGACACAAAUAUCCAAGUGAACCGUGAAAACUUAGCAUGUAAAUGUAUUAUUAGAUAGAGAUGUCAAAGUAUAACAUGCAAAUACAUUAUUGGACAGAGAUGUCCGAGUAAUCCGUGAAAACAUAGCAUGCAAAUGCAUUAUUAGAUAGGGAUGUCCGAAUAAACCGUGAAACUUAGUAUGUAAAUGCAGGAAACCGUGAAAACUUAAUAUGUAAAUUCAGGAAAAAAAUGUCCAAGUAAACCGUGAAGACUUAGUAUGUAAAUGCAUUAUUGGACAUAAUUGUCCGAGUAAACAACGAAAAAAUAUAAAUACAUUAUUAGAAAGAGAUGUCUGAGUAAACCGUGAUGUGUGAGCAACUGUAACAUCAUUGAAAAGAUAAAAUCACCAUCAAUAGUUGUAACAGGUUACCUUACCCGCCAGAACUGCUACUUGAAGAAGAAAUCUUCAAAAGAAAUCCCCAUAAAGCACGAUGAAACAUAGAUAUAAGCACAAACAUGAGUGAGCCGUCAAUAAUAAGUAACAAAAAAUGAUUUGACUAAAUGAACCAUAUGUGUAUGUGCAUGCUUGCUCAUCUUUCACAAAAUAUGCAACUAAUAUCUCUAUCCACAUAAUAGAAUGAAAGUAAAUUGAAUCUAAAUUUUUUUUAGUAAAUGCAUUACUAGAUAGAAUAUUCCAACUGUGAUAUGUGUUAACUCUGUGAGAAACUAUAUCAUCAUUGAAGAGACAAUAUCUUCCUCAAAGUACUUAAACUAGGAGUUAUAACGGAUUACCUUACCACCAGAGUUGUUGGUUAAGUAAAAAGAAAUCAUAAAAAAGAAAUCCUCUUGAAAGGUGAUGAAACAUAUAUCUGAGAUCUAGUGUAGCUUGAAUACCGAUAUCAAAAGUUCUCUUUGUUGUAUUGUCCUUCAAAGUGAAGAUCUGAUGUGUUUUGUAAAUAUCGCGAUAUUGGCUGAAACUUGAUGAAGUUUGGAACCAUUUUUCAGAUUCGUGGAGAAAACCUUCUCGUCGUGGAUCUACAUAUUGUCUCUCUUUUUCAAGAACUCACGUCUUCAUUUAUCUCACUAACCUCGAACUGUUCAGAUAACCUAGAACUAGAAUAGAUCGAUCAGUUAGUGGUUGCCCUCCUUCUAGGGCCAUUAUGCAAGCGGUAUUUCCGCCUACAUCUUGAGAUCAGUGAGGCCAGUGAAGAAUGGUUUAACUCCUUCGUCAUCAUCUCUGUUACCUGUAAAACACGCCGGGGUUGUUCCCGACGUUAGCACUCCAACGCUCAAGUCAGAUAGUGUAGAUGAAGAGAAGAAGAAGAAAGACAAAAUGUGUUGAGUGAAGUGAUGGAUCAUACCUUGUGUUUAGGGUUUUGCCCCUUAUAUACUAUUCAUACCUUGUAUGUAAUGUAGGCCGUGAGAUCUUAGAAGACCUGACGGUUGUGAUGUAGAGAUGUGGACCUCUGGCUUCCAAGUAUUCUCUGUCAUGACUGAUCCGUGCUUGCCACAUGAGCUGUACAGUCUGUCUUGUCUGAGUGAUAACCUGCAUCGCAAGCUAUUUUACUAGGUUGAUUCGUUAGAACCGAGUAACACGUGGAAUCUGGUAUAAUUAUGUACUUACAAAAUGUAGAGGAAUUUUGGCAGCCAUUAAAUGGUGCGUCGAACAACAAUUCUCAAGGCUAGAAGUGGAGACUGAUAAUGAAGGAGUAACAGACUAUGCAAAAGAAUGGGAACUCACUGGGUCCACUGUUGUAAUCUAUCCCACCUCCUUGGUUGAUACACUAGUUGGUUUUGGAUAUAGAUAUCUUGUAAUUUGGUUGUUGCCUAACUAUUUAAAGACCACUUAAAAAAAAAAAAAACUAAAGUUGAACCUUUUUAGAAUCCAGAAUGUAGAGAAGCCAAUGUAGUACAGUUAUGCGUUUGAUUGCAGAGUGGGAAAAAAAGGAAGUGGGAAUUACUUUGGCUGUGUUUGAUAGUAAGAGUGGGAAUUGGAAGUAUAACCUCAAUAAAUUAAUAGUCUUGGGACUCAGGAAAUAUUUGACUCAAUUUUGACUCAAUCCUAUUUAGGGUACUUGUACAUGUUGGAUGAGCGGGCGGGGCGGGGCAGGGCCAAAUAAUCCCCGUUCUUAGGCGGGGCGGGGCGGGGAACGGGGGGCUUAAGAAAGUUCACCCCCAUCCCUGCCCUGUACAGGUCGGGGGGCGGGGAACGGGGCGGGGACGGGGAAAAGUUUAUAAGGAUCAGAGUCCUGAGGUUCUGCUGCUGCCUUUCAGCCCACACUGUACAUGUGACUUACAUUUGCACCAAUCUGAACCUUUCAGUUGGUGGACCACCCCCUUUUAGUUAAGUUACAUUGCAUGGAAUCUUUCAAUCUCAUUAUUUACUUAUGUCUGAUAGAUGGAAUUUUAUAUGCUGUGAGCCUUAGUUUGGAUUUUAUCAACUAAAAAAAAAUGAAAAACUAAUAUCCAUAACUGGAAGAACAAUUCUACUCAAAUGACCAUAAAUUCCAGCAGUAACAUACUGAAUUGUAUACAUAUGCAAUAUCGACAAAUUCGAGUUUCAAGAAUUCAUUUAAAUUAUUCCAUAAGAUCUAAACAUUGCAAAUUGAUUACUGAGUUGAAAUAAACUCGCAUAUCAAUACGUAAACAACUAAACAUACAGGAUUAGAAACUGAAACUUGUAUAAUCUAUAUCAAUGUGUAAACAGGAUUGCAAUAUAGACAAAACAGAGGCCAAAAUGAUAGUAGAAGAAAAUAGAACAUAGCCAUUGAAUUUCUAACUAAUUACUGAUUAAAAACUUUAAAUAGAAAAUAGCCAUUGUAUAGCCAUUACAAUUGAAGGAAGCAGAAAAUGGUGGGAUUCAUUGGAGUGGGAUCCUGCCUAUCCCCAAAAUAUCCUUCAACCCUUCUUCAAAGAGAAACAAGGUAUGUAGAAUGAAUUGUUACUCCACUUUUGGUCCAAAGCUUCCAUCUUUUCACUCACAAUUGGGUCAAUUUCUAAUUCAUAUAUAUUAAUAUAGUUCAUAUUUUAAUAGAUAUAUGGGAAAUCAAUUUGAAUUAAGAAAAGUCGUAUGUUUUGUUUGAGUUUAUACAUACAUUCCAUAUUUACACGGUUUACUCCAACUCUCAUGCCCAAUAUUUGCAUUAAACAACAGUGUGCAAUACAUUGACUACCUGUACAAAGAUUGCCUUCCCCAAAUUCCUAUUUUGAUUCGAUUUUGCAUAUUUCAAGAAUAUUUGUGUUCAAGAUAAUAAGAUAUGAUGUACUCCGUAUUACAACUUGCGACUGUCAUUAACUAGGCCCAAUAUUUUCUUUUCUGCAGGGAAGUCUUAUGGGUUAAACAUAGAUAUACAUAACAGAGUUACUUGUGCUUAUUGUGAGGUAACAUCCAUGUUUUACUUUCAUAUUGAAAUGAUAUUUUUGUUUUAUAAAAUAUUAGGAGGGUGAUUCAAUAUGAGUAAAAGUCUAGGUACUCCGUACUUGUUCUUGUUUGAAUGGCUUAAAUUUGUGCUAAACUAGGACUUUUUUUUUAAUUCAAAACAAAUUUUAUUGAUAAAAAUUUGAGAAAUUAUACAAAGUUAGAGUACAAGCACGCUACAAACUUCGUUGCAAGCCCUUUUUGAAUACCAAAACCAAAUCUACGAAAUACAUAUUUUAUUUUUUUUUUUAUUUUUUUUAAAAAAAAAAAAAACGCUAGGGUUAGGCACACCCCUACCGGAUUUUAUUAAAGAAAGAAAGAAUAAAGAUUACAUUCUAAGGUACAACUUUCCCGAGGCAUCAUUCAACAAAAUGAUAGAGAGUUCUUUUGAGAAUGGCCUAUGGUAUACAAUACAAAGAUCAGGGGGGGCACUUAGGCCAGCUAGGCUUGUAUUUUCCUUGUUUCUUGCAUCUCCAAGAAGGAUCAGAUAUUCCAUUAAUGAUGUCAGCAGCAAGUUUAGAGUCCGUCAAUAUAUUAACCUUUUUUAGACCUUGCUCCUUAGCAAUCUCCAUGCCUACCUUGAUAGCCUGUAGUUCAAUCACAGUGAUGGUAGUAUGCUUAGUCCCUCCAGUAUAGGCUACCAAGACCUCACCCUUGUGAUCUCUCAACAGUCCUUCAAUCCCUGCCAUGUUUCACUGAGAGCCCCAUCAGUAUUAAGAGCGAAAUAGUCUUCAUCAGGGGAUUCCCACUUACAGUAAGUACCAACAUUCCGUUUGAUCUGUAUUCUCAGGUUCAUGAUAUGUACGAUGCUAGAGUUCUAAAAAGAGUCCUUGACAGUAUUCACUUUCAGGUGAUUUCUCUUGAGUACUUUGUCCUUGAUAGUUGCGACGAUCUUUGUAGGUGUAGAAAACAAGUUUCUAAAGAUCCUGUCGUUUCUCUCCUUCCAAAUCGCAUACACAGUUGCACUUAGAGCAGCUUGUAAGAACUGUUUGUGGAAUUCCUUACCGUAAAAUUAUGGCAAAUCCAUUUCCACUCCUUGUGUGCAUUUCUGCUCCCUCAAUAGAAUCCACACCAUUGUAAAAUAGCAUGCCAUACUUGCUUCGAGUAACUACAAUAAAAAAAGAGGUGCUGCACUGAUUACAUUGCCCAAACCUCCUUUACUACUAUCCUUGAACAAUGGCUGAUCUAUCCAAUUAUCCAAAAAUCUAAAAGGGAAGUUUUUUCUAUGUCGCUGGGCAUGUUGCAUAAUGAUAAUUGGCGAAUGGUCAGAUAUACUCAUAUACCUUGAGGAAGGAAGUGAGCUUCUGUAUUACUCCUUUGUUGGAACCAGACUUGAUUGACAAUCACACGAUCUAGCUUUACCAUGGUUCUCCCCUUACCAUUUCCUCUAUUAGUCCAGAAAUAAAAAGUACCAAAAUAUAUUAGGUCUUCAAGUCCAUUCAUUUCAAAACAGUCCACAAAGUCUCUAAGGUCUCUGUCAUGUAGUACUGAACCUCCCACCUUUUCGUCACUACUCCUACAAGUAUUAAUUAAAGUCAUCCAUGAGAAUCCAGGGCUUCUGGAUAUUGGGAUUGAGAACAGAGAUAAAGUCCCAAAGCUUGUGUCGAAGGUGUCUUUCAUUCCGAGCAUAAACAAUGGAGCUUGUGCCUCAACAUAUUUGGCAACAAAAGAUGUAAAAUUCUAACAGAUGUAGAAUUUUAUUACAUCCGCCUCCGAACACAGAUGUAGAAUUUACUCAUGGUGAUCUUGCCAAAUAUUACAUCCGCCUCCGUACAUAGAUGUAAAAUUUACUCCAUGUAUAUUUAGAGAAACAAAACGAUCGACUGAUUAUUUGGCACCGGAGAUAACUUUCAAUAAUAUUUUCACUCUUAAAAGACAUGCAUGAUGACUUUAGUAUUGAAAAUAAAAACUAGCUUUUUUGCUUAAUUUUCAUUUUAAAUCUUCGACUCAAAGGGAGAUGGCAUUGAAGCAAAUAUGAUUUAUUUAGCAUUCAUUUAUAAUUCAAUCUGUAAAGUUUUCAGUCCUGCAGUAAUAUUUUGUUGCUUUUAACCUUUACUCAUGCAGUAAUGUUCUUAAGUCUUACCACCUAAAUGGAUAACUUGACAGAUGAAUCCAAUAGUCAGAAAUCGAUACAGAUGCAAGCAUUGUUGGGAGGAAAAUGUCGUCACUGAGCAAGGCGUAGGUUUUGAUUUGUGUGAAGAUUGUUAUCAAACUCUCUUCAAGCAUCGAGAGCUUGCCGAUCUGUAUCACACACAAGGGCAUGCAUUUGAGCCCAACUGGCACCUACAUGUUUACAUUAAUGUUGCAACUGCAUUAUUAAGCCAAAAAUUAUUAAGCUAAACUAGAUCAGACCGAACCAAUUUAAUUCGUUUCGGUCUUCGGUUUGGGACUUUAUUUUUGGCCUGUGUUUUGGGCUUUAAUAACUCAUAACUUUUCUUUUCUUUAUAUAUAACAGGCCUGAAUAUGACCAUUUAGACUCCGCCCAUUUAAUUGUUUUUUUUUUUUUUUUUUGUAAUUUAUUGAAUAUUUGAAUAUAAUCUAACAUUUAUCAAAAAAAAAAAAUCUAACCUAUAUUGAAAUAACGUAAAAUAACAUAUAUAUAAGGAAAAAAAAUAAAAUAUAUAUAUUCUCAGUUCGGUUCGAACCGAAAUAUUAGAAUAGGAACUGGAAUUGGACUGUAUAUACUCGGUUCGGUUCCAGUUCCAGUUCGGUUUUGACCUGGUUCGGUUCCGGUUUUAAUUCGGUUUUCCGAUUUUUUGCCAACCCGUAGCUAAUACGCUAUAGCGACCCGACCUAUAUCACCACCGAUAUUGUUCCCACUUAGCCGACAGUGUGGGGUUUUAUGGGCAGCAACCUGCUUCCUUGGAGGUCACCCAUCAUGAGACUACUCUCAGCCGAACCCGCUUAACUCCAAAGUUCUUUUGAACCCUAGAGACAAGUGAACCCAAAAGGCCUCGGUGAUAAUAUACGACGAAUCUAUACCUAUAUUCCAAUGUCAAGACACCCCCUCUUAUGUGUCGUACGACCCACCCUCUCGGUAAAUCACCUACCGACCCAGGGUGUUACAUACGCAUAAUAAUCUUUUGUUUUCUCAUUUGAUUCACGAAUAAGAAGCAUAUUUUACAAAUUGGCUUAGUUGUGGCAUUAUGGACAAGUUGAAUUGCAAAUCUAAUACGAGGGUUUGUGACUCUCUUGAAACAGGUACCAUAUAUAAGCGUUCCAAAUUAUGGGCCUCCUUAACUUUAGGGAGAAGAGAAAUCACCUCCGUUGGCCCUCUGCGAUAUCCUUUGGAAUGGUGGGAUUCAAAGAGACUUGUACAGCAGGUACAUACUACGUAUUAUCAACCCGAAUUUGGUCAAAGUUUCCAUCGCCUUCUUUUGAUUUAUUUAUUUACUUACAAUUGGGUAAGUUUCAAUUAAUUGUUUUUUCUCAAUUAUUUCAUUGUCAUAAGAAUUAACUCUCCAAAAGGUAACAUGGCAUAAUGCUUGAAAUUUUUUGUUUUCUAUACUUUGUAUUUUCUUUAUCGUUUUUACUAGGUAGGGUUAAUAGUUAAUACACUCAUUUUCUUUAUCGUUAAUUAUUUCAAUGUAUGUUUAUUAGGUACAGUCUUGGUUUUUUACAGAUAGCAAGAUGACUAUCUGUCAGAAAGUGUUUUACUAAAAAGAAAUUAAAUAGCCUCACUGCCAAAAGAUUAACAAAGAUGAAUGGACUUCUUGUUCUUAAUGGCCAUUACGUUAAAAUUUUGUGAAUUAUUGAGAAACCUGCUAUCGUCGUAAAUAUAUCUUGACAUGCAAUGAAAUUACAAUAAUUUUUCGUAACUGAGAUUUGGUCCAGAUCUUUUGGUGUAUACCAAGGAAGGACUUGAAUUCAAAACAUCGACAACAACUAUAUCUGGGAAAAACUCUAAAUAUGUUGCCAAAAUACUUAUUCAAAGUCCAAAUAUUAGUUGGGCUAGUUCUGUAAUGGGAGUCGAAUUGAGGUCCCACACGUCAUCUAUUGUAUUAUUGAGGUCCCACACGUCACCGAGUAACUUUUUAUUAUUUCGUCCAUCAACUCAUCCCCAAUUAUUUGGUCCUUUCUUCUUCUUCUUCUUCUUCUUCACUGUUUAGCAAUUAACUUUGUUCCCAAUUCAGAUCCAUUUCAUUUCAUGCAUAUAUGUUCUAUUAGUGAAGUCUCAAUCUUCCUAGCUUCUUCAUCUUGUCAGUAAUUUUGUUUACUAAAACAACUUCUAGCACCUUAAGAUUUGUGUUUUGGUAUGUAUAAUCUUUAAAUUUAUUUUUUUAUUUUCAUAAAAGAAGUGCAUUAAGAAUUGAAUUUUUAAUUUUAGGUACUGAAGAUGAGUCGAAGAACAGGUCUUGCUUUUCACCUAUAGACCAAGAAUGAGUUGAGCAAUUAAUUUGACUAUUGAGCAAUUAGCUAGUAAGCCUUUUACAGUAUUAUUAUUUUCUUAUUUUUUGAUAGGCUCGCUUGUGUUUUUGACACAAAUUUUAUUCCCUCUGUCCCAUUUUAUUGUUUUUGACCAAAAUUAAAAGGGUUAGAGUAAUUAAUUUUUGCAUAUUUUUUUCCAUAUUUACCCUACCUUUUAUUAUUGUUUUCAUGCAUUUAAUAUAAGUUGAAGUAUUUGAUUAUUAUUUAUAGGUUGCUAAAAAUGCUCAUUAAAUAAAGGUAAAUGGGUAAUCUGUGUUAUUCAAUCUCAAUUGCCGUAAUAAGAAAGGAAAACAGUUUCCAAGAAUUUACUUUCCUACGUUUGGUUUGGUUUCGUAUUAAAUUAUGAAUUUGGAAUAUCUCACACUAAAAUAAACAUUUAAACAAAAAAACACGAGUGUAACAAUUUUUAAGUAAAAAACAAUCUAAAUCUAUAUUAAUUCAAAAAUUAACAAAAGAAAACAAUAAACCAUGUCCAACAUCUAAUGUAUAAUGUGGAUGCGAAGGUAUGUAGCCACUCCUUACGCAUUUCUAACUUCCGAACCAUAAACUUCUUUCCUUCAAGUUGAUGUGCCACGAGAUAGUUAAAUGCCUUUUCAAGGAACUUCUCAUCAAAACCUUUCAUAUUUAAUCCCUCUAAAUAUAAUUUUUCAACAAAACUAUCUUCAACCAAAGCUUCGGUCAAUUUUCCAACUUGUUGACUUAAAUCAUCAACCUUUGACAUCACAUCCUCCCAUGGUCUACUUCGUUUUCCUCGUCUUCUAUUAUCCGAAGAAUCUUUUUGUGUAGCACUCGAGACUUCAUUUACAUCAUCGGUUUGAAUGUCCGAAAGUGAUUUUGUAAAACUUCUGGUAGUUUGAUCCUCUCCACAAACAGGUCUCAACUCUUCGUAUUGUUCAAUUGGGACAUUGAUGAAUUCUUUAGUAUAUGGAUUCUCCUACAAUAUAUGAAUUAAGCAUAAUAUUAACAUUGGUCAUGACUUACAAAUGCUUGAAGUACUUUAAAAAAUAGCUUAUUAUAAAAGGGACAAAAGAAUAAGUUUAUUAUAAAGGGGAAGUAACACCAUGUCCUUAGACCUUAACCAGUAUACUCACAUUUAAGUUACAUGUUAACAUAGAAUUGAAAGAUAACAUCUUUCUAGCUACAACCACUUUGCCAAAUCAAGACUAUAGGUAUUAUUGGUUUUUGCCACACCCACUUCUUGGUACAUAUAUGUAGCAAAGACAGACCCAAAACAACUUCUUCAAAAUAUCUUAUUUGUAUUUGAAGAGAAAACUGGUUAUGCAUAACAAAGCUUACCUUAUUUUUUGUGGAAUCAAAACAUGAAUCAUAAAGACAACGGUGCAACAAAUAAUCAAAAUUGUCGGUAUAUUGACAUGUAUGUGUACUCAUUUCUACAUCAUUAAAACUAUAGAGGACUGGUGACUUCACAACCUUGGAACAUAACAACUGUACAAUACAUAAUAAAGGAUGGUUUUAUACCUCAAUGAACUCCAAUGCAUCCUCUUUACGGACUUCGAUAAUCUUUCUCUCUUCAUCCCAACCCCAACCACUUCUUUCUCGGAGAGCCUUUAUUUUUGCGUAUUUCCUCUUCACCAUCUUCAUACGAGCUUCAACAUUAUCAAUUGUACACAAUUGUUUGACACUAUCCGUGACGGCUUUGGCAGCCUUAGUAUAGACGGCCUUUGGAAACGAUUUCCCACUCUUCUCACCAUUGUAAGUGUUGCAUCAUAUAUAGUUACAAUUUCUUUGCAUAAGGCCAAUGGUAACAACUGUAGAACUGUACGACCACGUCGUCUAUCAUGAUCAUAGAGAAGGUGCAACUGUACAAAAGUAUUAAUGUCUGUGGAAAUCUACCUGUACAACUGUACCAUAAAUAAAAGUUACUAUUACAGGACGCAUUAUUUGAUGGGAGCUGAGAAGGUAGCUAAACUAAGCUACUGCAUCAUAUAUUGAGUGCAAUAGUGAGUCGAGAGAACAAGUUACAGAGUCAUAGAAGGUGCACAAAUGAAUGUUCAAAACACAAAUAUAGAAUACAGAAUUAAUUGACAAGCAUUCCAUCAGUUGAUCUUAACCAUGUCCUCGAAAUACAAUCUCGAAAAGCAACCUACAACAACUGCAACCAUUUACUGCACUCCCCUCAUAGGGAUUCAUAAAUUCAAUACUUAGAUUGUUGGGUCGUAUUAAUUUAAGGCAGCGAAUGGGGAGCACGUUAUUACCACAGCGGAUAUGAACUUUACAACAACAGCGAAUUGGGUAACCAUCUAGAUUGGGCCAUUCGAAAAGAAGGUUUAUUCCAAUACGGGUACACCAAUCAAAUGUGGGUGAUUUUUUUAUCAAUGGAAAUGGGCAUAAUCCCUUUCUUUUUUUCUUAGAACACAAAAAAUUACUGGAAGCACCACUAGUCUCGUUGAGGCCAUGAACAAUUGUAUGUUGUCAAGGUUUAACUAGUAGUAUUAGAGUAGUAGAUAUGACUAAUUGAGUUUUCAGUAAUGAAUGUAACAUUUAUCUGAAAAAUCAAUCAAUUCAGCAAGUACAAAACCUGGAAAAUGACUACCACAACUGUUCACGAUCACAAGUUUGUUGUUUCAUACAUCUUAAUUACAAACAUAUGAUUGAACAGAAAACUUUUGAUAUCUCUGGUUAAAUGGUUUUAUUAAAUUUUCCAGUGAGUGCCAUCUAUCAAAUUGUUUACUAUAGUAAGAAUCAAAGGCAGACUCACCAUUCUCCUAGUACCUCAUCAAAUAAAACUACCCCAUGCUUGCAAAAAUCCCAGAAAAUAUACAUAUCAACAGAUAAGCUAACUUGUACAAUAUCCAAUACUUGCAAAAUUUGGAGAGAAAAAAAAAAACCCAAACUUUAAAAAACAAUUAUAAAAUAAUGAAUUUUUACCUUGCUUUGACUGUAGCGAGAAGGGGAGCUCCAAAUUUUUAAACCCGCAUAGAAACUAGGCGGAAUUUGCUUUCCUAAUAUUUUCGUUUCCCUUUUGAACCAAACAGUUGGAAUUUAAACUUUCUAGGAAAACGUUUUUCUUUCCCUUAUUUUUCUGUGAACCAAACACGCCCUAUGUGUAUUUCAAUGAAAAAACUUAAUCUUGAAAAAUUUCAGAAAUUAGAUCGGAUCGAAAUUAUAAAACUAGUUCCAAUUCCAUUCCAUUAGUGUUUGAAAAAAAUAAAAAAUUGGAACUAGCAUUUUAUGUUCCAAAAUAGAAAAAAUCAGAUUAGAAAUCGGAAUUUUGGCAAAAAUCUCCACCCUUAGUUUUGACAAAAUUUGUACCAAGACCUAAUUACAAUAUUAAAUCGAAUCAAAGCAUAAAUCACCUAUUAUUACACAUGUACGAAAACCUAAAUAGUCCAUAGAAUUACUAGCUUUUGUUAAACAAAAAAACUAUAUGUUGCAGACUUGCAGGAAUUAAACAACAAUAAAAGAAAGAAGAUUAUAGGGAGAUUUUUUGCCACCCACUAAUAAGUGUUUAAUUCUUCAAACUCUACCAGGAAUUAAAAGUCACAAUAAUUUGAGAGAAAAGACAAAUAAUGGGUUUGAAAUACCCAUUAGGUGAAAUUGUGAAAGUGAAUUUAAGUUACCACACCUCUAGAUCCAAUUCAAAUAUUUUUAUCGUUGUUUAUUAAUUGAUCUAUUAAAAUCUACUACAACUUUAGGCUUUCAUUUAUGUAUAGUCGAUCUUUAAAUUUUGUUUAGAAAGGAAGUGCAGAACGAAUUAAGUUUUGUGAUGUAAAUCUCUAUUUUGUGAUAUAUGUUCUACUAAACAGGGUGGGGUCUGUUGUGCGCAGCGGAAACUAAUGCACAAAUAAGAUGAUUGAACUAGUGUAUGAAAUAAAAUAAAACGACAAAAUCAAAAAAACAAGCAACCACACAAGACACAAGAUAUACGUGGUUCGGCAAUAUGCCUACGUCCACGGGGAGAAAGGAUGAUGCUUUUCUUAUCGAGACAAUUGUACAAGCCCUCACGAAGAAAACCGAAGUCUUCUUCCUCACAAAAGUUCUCAAACUCUCUAAUGGCUUCUCACAAUCUCUCUAACAUCUCGCAUAAUUAAGUUUUUCCCCUUCUAUUUGGCUUUAUACCAUAGCCUUACAAUAGACCACGAAUUGGGCUUAAACACGGCCCAUAUAGCACAAAAACAAAGGAGGACGUACGUACGUCGAGCCACGGAGAAGUUAUCUGACGUACGGGACGUACGUACACCCUAACUACGUACGUACGUUCCUGAACAAGUAAUACAACGUUCGUACGUCGAAUUGACGUUUGUACGUUCAGCAAAUACCAAGUUGUCUGUGAUACGGGACGUACGUACGCCCUAACUACGUACGUAUGUUCCCAGACAAAAAACUUCCCCUUGCCCUCUUGUUUUCCAUAAAAAACCCAACAAUUCUCUACCUCGGCGAAGAUUCAAUAAGUCUAAGCCGACACCAAGAAUAAAACAAGUCAUAAACUCCCACACAUGUCCCGAAAGACCACCUCGGCUGCACCACCUCAUGGUUGCCUACGUACCCUUCUGCUAAGGGAUCAAGCCAUCGUAGUUUACUUCAAGAUAUACUAUCAACUCGAAAGAAGGAUAUGGACCAAUUCUAAGCAAUAGAACUUAGUCCCAUACACCACUUUAGUCACGACAAUUUUCCAAGCUUCUGUCGGAGACAAAGCAACCAUAGAAUGUAAUUGAGACAACCUGCUGAUAGAUCUCACUGCCAAUGUAAACACAUAUCCAGGAGUAGACCAACGUCUAUCUAAGUGACAAUCAUACUCAACAUCUACAUAACCAACACACCGCAGCCUCAGAGUCCUUCCAUGUUGAACUAACAAACAAACCUCCACACUACCUUGAAUGUAGUGGAACAUCCAUUUCACAGCUUCCCAAUGUCUCAUAUCAGGAUCAUGCAUGUAUCUACCUACAAUGCCCACUGCUCGUGAAAUAUAUGGCUUGAAACACACAAACUCAUCAUACUUUGCAACUCUAGAACCACUAGGCUGAGACAAAUAAAUCUCCUCAUCUAGCUCACCAUGUAAAACAACCGUUUCCACAUCAAACAGAGCUAACACCAAAUCAGAUCGCACUACCAAGGCCAUAAGGAUGCAAACGUUUACCUUCAAGUGCACAUCUUUACCUGGAGAUUCUUCUUCCUUCUUAGGUAAUCUAGUUGCAAUUGGACCCUCAUAAUUAGGAUCACCAUUUUCUGCAUUUCCAAUCGUCUCAUCAUCUGUCAUGUCAUCAGAAUUUGAAACACCCAAAAUCCUUACAAGAGUUUCCACAUUAGAUACAGAACCCACUGGAACAUAUGGAGAUAUGCAAAUUUCCACCCACUGCAAAACCUCUUUGGUCUUGUUCUCCACCUGCUGAGAACUCUCAGGCUCCAACAUAGAAACCUCCAUAAGAGUUUUACCACUAGUCACAAUCAAAUGCAACCUGUUAAUAAGAUGACAUGUCUCAACCCGAAACACUUUGCCUAAUCCAGCCAUAGACAACAUAUGUUCUGCCACCAUAUUCUGUUGCAGUGUCUUUCUCAUAGUGAAGUGACGCUCAAUACCCUUAGUCUGACAUACUUGCAAGACCGGAUCAUCUUUGUACUCUAUGCUAUUAUCUAAGCACAAUACCAUGAUCUUUGUGUCAAUUCGGGCCUCAACUAGCUUCUUCCACUUCAAUAUUUCUAGGACUUCAUCCUUAUGCUUCAUGAUGUACAUCCACACACGCCUAGAAAACUCAUCAACUAAAGACACAAAAGAAGACUUACCUCUCUAAGCUGUGUACUUGGUAGGUCUCCAGACAUUCAUGUGAACAUAAUCAAGAACUCCACUCAUACAAUGGAUAGUUGUGCCAAACUUUGCUCUUAUCUGCUUGCCCAGAUCACAAUGCUCACCGAACUCUAACUUGCAGGCGAUAGCACCCAUAAAAAACCUUUGCUCCGUUAUUGUCUGCAAAGAUUUUUCACAUUUAUGCGUCAGCCGCAUAUGCCACAAUUUGGUAGUCUCUCUAGCAAACUUCGUUGUAGCCUCUGACAUGGCCACAUCACAUGUAACUGUACUACCGUGCAAGAAGUACAAGUUACUUCGUCGAGUACCCUUUAGUAAUACCAUUGCACCAACCAUAACCUUUAGACACAUUCUGAGCUACUACCUUGUAACCUUUGGCUUCUAAGGUACCAAGUGAAAUAAGGUUCUUCUUCAAAUCAGGAACAUAUCUUACAUUCCUCAACUCUCUUAUCUUUCCAUCAAACAUCUUCAAUCGAAUAGUACCUAUCCCCAAUACAUGACAAUGUUGAUCAUUCCCCAUCACUACUGCACCAUUAUCUAGCCUUUUAAAGCUAGAAAACCAUUCCCUUAUGGGACACACAUGAUAAGUACCAGCCGAAUCUAAUAUUCACUCUUUAGCACUAGUGGAACAAUCGAUGGAUGAAACACAUAAAGAAUAAUCAGAACCAUCAUCUUCAUCUCUAUUAAUAUGUGCAACAUUUACCUCAGAGUUAUUCUUCUUGUCCUUUGCCUUGGCUUGAAGACAAUCUUUCUUCCAAUGCCCUUUCUCAUGACAAAAAGAACAUUCAUCUUUUGCUAGAAACCCCCUCUACGGCUCCCUACGAGACUCACCCCUACUAUUGUAGCUUCCCCUUGCCACUAAGACCUCUGGUGUUGAGCUUUUGGACUCUUCUUUGUCCUUCUUCAUACACGCAUGAUUUAACAAUGCUGCAGAAAUCUCACUAUACACCAGCUUGUCUUUUCCAUAUGUAAGUGUGAUAGCCAAGUGUUCAUAUUCGUCCGGUAACGAAUUGAGGAGACACACUGUCUUGCUUUCAUCACUUACAUCUGCUCCAAGAUUCACCAAGUCGGCAAUUACCUUGGUAAAAUCAUUAAGAUGCUCCGCCAUUGAAAUACCUCUUCUCAUAUCUAUUCGAUAAAACUUUCGAAGUAGAUAGUUUUUAUUGUGGAUAGUCUUUGUCAUUACUUCUCGUCCAAUUUUCGCCACAUCUCCUUUGCAGAAGCAUCAUUCAUCACAAGGUAUUUAAUGUCUUGAGCCAAACACGAUCUUAUGAUUCCACAAGCUCGUUUGUUCAUUUUCUUCCAAUCCCUCUGUUCCACACCUUCUGGCUUAUCCUCCAGAACAUCUUCUAGGUCUUGUUGACAUAGAGCAUCCAUUACCUCGCACCUCCACAUACCAAAGUUAUUGGUGCCGGUAAACUUCUCUACAUCAAUCUUUGCUUGAUGGAAAACCAUUGUCUUGAUUUCCCCCUUCUCGAAUCCUUCGAAUUCAAUUCUUUUGUCAUCUUUCCACCAACUUUCAUGCACUAAACAAUCACCAAACGAAAGUAAACAAAUCUGAAAUUCACACCGGAAUUUCAACCAACACCUUCUAUGCAACCCACGAACAAAAGGUAGAAUCUUGGACUUGAAACACAAUUAAGAAACUCACUGCGGAAUUUCUUCAAACACCUUCAAGACGCUCAAGAUCUAACCGAAGCUCUGAUGCCACUUGUUGUGCGCAGCGGAAACUAAUGCACAAAUAAGAUGAUUGAACUAGUGUAUGAAAUAAAAUAAAACGACAAAAUCAAAAAAACAAGUAACCACACAAGACACAAGAUAUACGUGGUUCGGCAAUAUGUCUACGUCCACGGGGAGAAAGGAUGAUGCUUUUCUUAUCGAGACAAUUGUACAAGCCCUCACGAAGAAAACCGAAGUCUUCUUCCUCACAAAAGUUCUCAAACUCUCUAAUGGCUUCUCACAAUCUCUCUCACAUCUCGCAUAAUUAGGUUUUUCCAGUUCUAUUUGGCUUUAUACCAUAGCCUUACAAUAGACCACGAAUUGGGCUUAAACAGGGCCCAUAUAGCACAAAAACAAAGGAGGACGUACGUACGUCGAAAUCGGAGAAGUUAUCUGACGUACGGGAUGUACGUACGCCCUAACUACGUACGUACGUUCCUGAACAAGUAAUAAAACGUUCGUACGUCGAAUUGACGUUCGUACGUUCAGCAAAAACCAAGUUGUCUGUGAUACGGGACGUACGUACGCCCUAACUACAUACGUACGUUCCCAGAUAAAAAACUUCCCCUUGUCCUCUUGUUUUCCAUAAAAAACCCAACAGGGUCUUUAACAUGGGCUCUUUAAUAUUCUUGAAUACUUCCUAUUAAAAUCUACUACAACUUUCGCUUUCAUUUAUGUAUAAUCUUUAAAUUUUGUUUAGAAAGGAAGUGAUGUAAAUCUCUAUUUUGGAUAUAUGUUCUACUAAACAGGGACAGGUCUUUAACAUGAGCUCUUUAAUAUUCUUGAAUACUUCUGUGAUCAAUAUUUGUACUGUACAUAAUGUUCUAACUAAUAAUUAUGAUCCACUACAAAUUUAAUCCAAAAAAGUAAUAUAAUUUUAUUUUCAAUUUAUAUUUUUUGUUUGGUAAUUGCAAUGUUAAUAUAUAUGGGGUAUUUAGGUUUUGGUCUUAGGUGUAUUAGGACUUGGUCGGACUUAUGUAAUUAGAUUUUAGGGGUGAUUUCGUCUUUUGACUUGUUUGACUAUCAGUCUAGUACUGUUAACCUUUUUAAGAUAACACUACUAACCCUGCAUGAGAGAAACGCGUGAGAAUUAAAAUUUUGUCAAAUAAUUUAAGAAUCAUAUGCUAUGUGGAAAGAAAAUUAGAAAAUAGUACUUCCUAUAAUUAAAAGUAUUAAGUUUUAGUACUUCCUUUAUUAUUCUUAAGGCUUUGGUCCAAGUUUCUGCCAUGAAUGCAGGGCCGGCUCUGGCUUUCUAAUGGCCCUGUGCAGUAACUUUAAAAAACGACCCUUUGUAUAAUAAGUCAGAAGGAACAAAAAAAAUAUUUGAAUCUAAAAAUCAAAAAAUUCAAUUAGAGAUGGUUCAAGUAAUAAUAUUUGAUAUAAAAUUCUCAAAAAAACAAAAAAAAUAAUAUCUGCAGUACCUACUUCUUGAGUUGUUGAGAAUGCAAAUGAAGAAUUUAGUGUUGAAAUUGAAAUAGAGAAAUAGAGAAUAAUAUUUGGAGGAAGAAAUCUAAUCGCUUAUAAAAAAAUUAUAUAUAUUAGGAUGAAUUUGUAAUACUAGACUUGUUUGUUGAAUUCUUUAGAGAUGGGAAUAAUAUAGGGAAAAAAGAAAAAUUACAGUUCUCUCCGUUGAAAAAAGAAAUUUGGUAGAUAUUUUUCCAUAAAUAAUGGAGAUAUUUAAGAAACUUAAAUAAAAUCCCAAAAUUUUUUCUUUCUUAAUUACAUUUAUCAAUUAAUUAUUGGUGUACUUAAUUCCUAAACAAAUAUUAGAAAGCAAAUCUAUUUUUUUUUUCUUCUCACGUAUCUAUCUAUUGGUUCCCAAAAAAUAAGGCCUCAUUAACUCUGAGGGCCCUGUGAGUCGAACAUUCUACACACCCAAGAGCCGGCCCUGCAUGAAUGAGUGAGGAAGCUUAUCUCUUUUCAGACAAAAACUAUAAUUUUAACAUUAACUUUUGAAGACAAGUCAGCCGACUGGAACUUUUUGUAGCAGAAGGUGCUAGUCUCAUAGGACACACAAUCAGACUUUCAAAAAUGACGAAGUUGUACUCAGGAUGGGUUGUUUCUUAAUGACUUGGGCAUCCGUGCACAACCAGAGCAAAUAUGUAACGAGAAUGUGUAGAUGGGCAUCUGGCUACCUCCAGCAACAGGACAGAUAAAGUUGAAUGUAGAUGGGGCUAUUAGGGGUAAUCUAGGUCUAACUUGUUUUGACAUGUAGCAAGGGACAAUUCAGGUGCAUUGAUAAGAUAAGGGGUAGAAACUUGGGAGUGAAAUCCAAUUAUUGGGCUGAAUGUCUAGCAAUUGUGGAAAUCAUGGAGAUGGAUAUUCAGGAGGAUUGGCUGACUGUCUGGAUAGCGUCAGAUGUUGCAGCUGCUGAACUAUAUGUAGUGUGUAAUUAAAUCUCAACAACCUCAACAUGCAACCCGCAACCUAGAUAUUCAUAAGAACACCUCCUUUGCAAUACAUGAUUCGUUUGUCAAUGAAUUCGAAGAUUACCAAACAAUAAACAAUAGUAAAAGAAGAACAAACCAUAACACCAAGAUAUACGUGGUUCGACAAUGCCUACCUUCACGGGGAACAAUGAGAAGAUUUCACUCUAAAAAAAAAAAGAAACAUCGAUUACAAUAAUCUCCCUAGUAUCUUUCUCAAGAUCUUAAUCUCUCACCUCAAGCUCAAUACACCUUGGCUUCCAAAAGUUCUCUUACCUUUGCUCUUUCUAUCUCUAUUAUUUUCUACUCUUGUUGCUUUAUCUUUACAAAACCAAGUUACUUGGGUAUCUAUAACACCCGGAUAAAAAAGAGAUCCAUAUAGGAUACGAAGUCCAAAACCGAAAAAAAUAUAGAAACAAAGAAUUAGGUUGUAAGGCCUUAUUCCAACUUUGUUUGGCCAAAAUGACAAACUUAUAAUUGUGGUUGUCAAAAGGAAAAAAAUACGUUAAUAAUUUGUUAAAAGGACAAACCCGGAUUUUGACUUUGUCAAAAGGAAAAAUGUUUAUGAUUAGACUUAUAAUCAUAUAGUCACACUUUUUCAAAAUUUCAUUUUUACCCGUAUAUACAUGUAAUUGCCAUUAUGAUUAUACGUGUGAUCAUACACACUUGUCCCUUUGAUUUAUGUGAUCACAACUGUAAUCUUAGUCAUUAUUAUAUGAUGUUUAUAUGUGAUUAGGACUAUGAUCAUAACAAAUAAAUACGAUUACAGGUCUGAUCGUAACAAAUAAAUGUGAUUAUAAGUGUGAUCAUACAUACUCGUGUUGUAAUUUAUGUAUGAUCAUAAUGAAUGAAUGUGAUUACAGGUCUAAUCAUAACAAAUAAAUGUGAUUAUACGUGUGAUCAUAUAUACUCAUGUUGUGAUUUAUAUAUGAUCAUAACGAAUAAAUGUGAUUACAGGUCUGAUCAUACCAAACAAAUGUGAUUAUAAGAUCCGAUCAUACGGUUGCAUAAGAUCGCAUUCCAACAAGAGUUCAUUUAGGUAGGGUAUAGUUUUACUGCAGUUGGUGUUAUGUAGUAUAUGAUUAGACUUGUGAUCAUAUGAUUAUACGUCUGAUCAUAAGGUUGCAGAAGAUCGCAUUGAAACUAGGGUUCAUUAGGGUGGGGUAUAGUCUUAUUGCAUUUAGUGUUAUGUAGUAUAUGAUUAGACCGUGAUCAUGUACUUAUAUAUGUUUGAUCAUAGGGUUGCUUAAUAUUGCAUUCCAACUAGGGUUUAUUGGGGUAAAGUAUAGUUUUAUUGCAUUUAGUGUGUACAGUAUGUAGUAUAUGAUUAGACAUGUGAUCAUAAAUGAUAUUUUUGUCCAAGGGAGUGAAUUGUUAUUAUCAGACCCGUGAUCAUAAAAACAUUGUCCUUUUAACUAAGUGGAAUAUUUUAAUCAAAGAAUUAUUUUGUAAGACCUUAUUUUAACUUUGUUAGGCCAAAAGGACACGGGUAGAAAUCUAUUACCCAAAAGAAGAAAUGGGUAGAUUUUAUGAGAAGGACAAUAAGAUUUUGGGGCUCAAGGACAAUCAACUCAGUCUAUUUGUUUUAUUUUUCUCAAAAUUCCAUUUAUACCCUUCUUCUUCUUCUUCUUCCCCUCUCUCUCAUUUAUGUUAUUGAAUUCCUUGUGAUGUUACAUCUAGUAAUGAAGAUGAGAAUGAUGAAGAUGAUCGAAGUUAAGUUCGAUGAUGAAGAUCGACGACGUUGAAAAUAACCCAAAAUAUUCAGAUAAGUAGAUUCAAAGAGAGAUGGGUGGAUCAAUUGAUUGUUACAAGCUAAAGAAAUUGGAGGGAGGGGGUUAUUUAUUUGAUUUGCUACGUUCUAUUAAAGAUAAAGAAAAUUAUUGAAUCUCAAUUGAAUGGGAAUCUGUCGAGCUUGGAUUUUUUUUUUUCUCUCUCUUUGUUUUGAUGGAUUAAUUGAUUAUAUAGGUAGAAAAUCAAGCCAUUUGAGGUUUGUUUUGUGAAAUUGUUGUUUUAUAUUGAUUAUCAUCAGAUUAUAUAAAGAAAUAACUUAUAUUUGUAAUAAUUCACUUAACAUUGUUUUAGAUACUGAUUGUAACAUGAUUAUGAUCAUAAUUGUGAUCAUAAUAAAUAAAUUUGAUUGUAAUAUGACUGUGAUCAGGAUAUUGAUCAUAAUAAAUAAAUUUGAUUAUAACCAUGAUUAUACACACUUUGUGUCUGUGAUUUAUGUGAUCACAAGUAUGAUCAUACUUGUGAUGAUAAAAUGUUUAUGUGAUUAUGAUUGUGAUCAUAAUAAAUAAAUAUGAUUAUAACCUCGAUUAUAACAAAUAAAUGUGAUUACACUCUUAUACAUUUAGGGUUUAGGGUCAUUAGAGGUAGGGUAUAGUUACAUUGCAUUAGGGUCGCGUAAGAUCACAUUAUGUAUAACUAGGGUUCAUUGGGGUAAAUGUGAUUAUACAUGUAAUCAUAUAAAUGUGAAUAUAAGAGGACUGUGAUCAAGAGUAUAAUGUGAUUAGAAGCAUGAUCAUACUCACUUGUAGAUGUGAUUUAUGUGAUUGGGAGUGUGAUCAUAGCAAUUGAAUGUGAUUAUAGAUUUGAUCAUACACUUUUGUACCCAUAUACAACUUCUUGAGCUUUUCCCAUGUUCCAUUGGCGCUAGUUUCUUCCAUCACAUUAAACAUCACCUCGUCCGAGAUAUGUAGUUCAAUGGAACUCAUGGCUUUGAGAUCUGCUUUGCUCCACUCGUCAUCCUACAUGUCCUUUGGUUUCUUGUCUUUCCCGUCAAAAACCACAUGAAGAUCUUGUUGGAUCAAAACGUUUAUCAUCUUCCUUUGCCAUAGUGUAAAGUUAUCUCUACCGUCAAACGGUUUAAUCUCAAUCUUUACACCACCGCCAAGAGUGGUAACCGAUAGUUUCUUAGCGUUGCUAUUCGUAGGAACACCUGUAAUCUCCGUAAUCUUUGACAAAACCUUAAAUCCAACCUAAGCUCUGAUACCACUUGUUGAACUAUAUGUAGUGAUUAAUUAAAUCCUAACAACCCGCAACCUAGAUAUUCAUAAGAACACCUCCUUUGCAAUACAUGAUCCGUUUGUCAAUGAAUUCGAAGAUUACGAAACAAUAAACAAUAGUAAAAGAAGAACAAAACAAUAAAGAACAAUAACACAAAAAUAUACGUGGUUCCGCAAUGCCUACCUCCACGGAUAACAAUGAGAAGAUUUCACUAUAAGAAAAUAAACUCCGAUUACAAUAAUCUCCCUAGUAUUUUUCUCAAGAUCUUAAUCUCUCACCUUAAACCCAAUACAUCCUUAGGCUCCCAAAAGUUCUCCUACCUUUGCUCUCUCUAUCUCUAUUAUUUUCUACCAUUGUUGUUUUAUCUUUACAGAACCAAGUUACUUGGGUAUUUAUUAACACCCGGAUAGAAAAGAGAUCCAUCUAGGACACGAAGUCAGAAAAAUCCUGCCCGUAAUGGUUUCCUAAACGAAGACUAGAUCUGAUCCUAUGGACCAUACCUAAUAUAAGGUAUGAUUUAGUGCACACCUGCACAUAUGGUGAGCCAAUAUUCAACAGCAGCAACAAUAAGUGUAUUUAAAAAUGGUGCGGUUUCGUGGCAGAUGAAUGGAAGAUGGCAGGUUCGUGUUGGUAAAGUCCAGCUACACUUCUCAUACUUGGAGGGAAGCGAACAUUCCACGGAUCAGGUUGCAGGUUCAAGGUUUCAACCCUUCGAGGAAGUUCACUGUAAUGGGCGACCAGACUGGUUAAAUCAAUUGAAUUUCCAUAUUUUGCUUACCUUUUUGAAAUCUCGCUUGGCUAGCUAAAAGAAGUAGAAAUAACUGGAAAGAAAAAAAGAAAGACAAAAUAAUCACCCAAGGAUUUACUAAGAACAAAUAUAUACAUUUUAAAGAAUUAUGUUUCCCUUUCUCAGCAAUAAUCUCAUUCUUCACUAAAGUGCCCUGAACAAAACUCCUUCUUAAACUCCAUCCAAAGUGUCUUCAUCCAUAAUAUAUGGGCUAUCAAGUGCAUCCGCACAUUCCUCGUAUUAUCUUAGGCGCUUUUACUGAUAGGUAGGGUUCAAUAUUGUCAUCAAUCAAACAAAUUUACCAUUCAGUUCAAUGUUCAUAUUCUGCCAUGGAAGAAAUCCAAAUGUUAAGACAAGAAGAAUUUGGGUUCGAACAAACUAAAUAUUGCUUAAGGAAAACAAAUUAACUGAAAAAACUUCUUGACUGAAUUGUUGAUCAGAAACGCAUUUAUUUUCUAAUUCGUUUCUUUGCUCUUGAGUGAAAUAUAUUAACAAAGCUAUUUUAUCUACAUCUUUUGACCUUUGCCUUUCUGUUGUCAGGCAAGAACAAGCAAUCAUUAUAUCACUAUCAUCCAUCUUUUACUUGGUUGCACAAUUUCUUGUAAAACAUGGAUAUGAAGAACCCUAGUAGACUACAAGGGGAAAGCUCAGUUUCAUUUGAUAUAUUAACAAGUGAGUUUGGACCAAAGUCAUAUUCAAAUGCUGAUCUUAUGAGGUUUACAUCAAAUUUUUCUAAUAAAAUUGGCUCUGGUGGGUAUGGAGAGGUUUAUAAAGGUCAUAUUCAAGACAAUGUCACUGUUGCUGUUAAGGUACUGGAAAACAAGGAUGUGGUGCGUGAGACAUUCGUGGCUGAAGUCAGUACAAUAAGCAAGGCUUCCCAUCGUUACAUAGUUAAACUACAUGGGUAUUGCUUUGAGCCCAACAUGAAAGCACUUGUGUAUGAAUAUAUGGAGAAUGGAUCUUUGGAUAAAAUUUUGUAUCAAAAUCCCCAUAGUAAUAUUGAGUGGGGAAAGUUAUAUGGUAUUGCAAUUCAGAUUGGAAAAGGGCUCGAUUAUUUGCACAAUGGUUGGGAUGAGCAGAUAAUUCACUAUGAUAUUAAAGCAGGGAAUGUGCUUCUUGACAGCAAGUUUUCAUCUAAAAUUGCAGAUUUUGGGUUAGCAAAGCUUAUGAAGAGGGAUGAAAGUCGUGUCCCCUUGACAAGAACUAGAGGGACUGUUGGCUAUAAUGCCCCAGAGACGUGGAUGCCAGGAUCAUAUGUAACUUUUAAAUGUGAUGUUUUCAGCUUUGGUAUGUUGUUGUUUGAAAUUUUAGGAAAAAGAAGUAACGGCAUGGAAGAAAAUUGGUUUCCCCAACAAGUUUGGGAGCAGUUUAAGAACGGAAAACUGGAAGUUAUAUUUAGAGAUUGUGGCAUUCUGGAUAAGGACAAAGAAAAGGCUAACAUACUAUCUAAGGUUGCAUUCUGGUGUGCGCAGGAUUCACCUGAACUAAGACCUUCCAUGACUGAUGUGGUCUUGAUGCUUGAGGAAAAAAUAUCAGUUGGGAAGCCUCCCAGCCCCCCCUUCGGAUGUUUGCAGCUCUCCAGUUGUUCAAUGGUACCAUUACUAAAGGUGAUUCCAGACGUCUGUUCAGAAGUCCCUCCUUCAAGGAAUGAAAGGUAACAUUAGAUACUCAUGUUGAUCUUGGCUUAGUAAGAAUUCAUACUCAUAUAUAAACAUAAACGUAUUUUUUCUUAUUUUUAAAAUCAUUUGUUUAUGAAUGGUAAGACUAACAAAGGUAACCCAUAUAUUUUCAGCUUAUUUGAGAAAAAGUGUGUUGGCAGAGAAGAGGACAAAAAUAACCAACAACUGUGCAAGAAGGUUGGUGGUGACGCUAGUUUGGUUUUUGGAGAAUGUAGCUCAAAGUCAGUGAUGGAAAGGACGACUCUUCUAAACAAAGCUAGUCAACUAUCAAAUGAAAAUCAAAUUUCACAGGUGCCAGAUAUCGGAAGGGAACUACAUGAAAGACUGAGAAGAGAAAAGGCAGCAAUGAUUGCGAAGGCAGAUGAUGUAAAGGCGAGGUUAUUCAGAGCAGAGACCGAAGAAGGAAAGGUGGCUACUAAUUCUGUGAAAAAUUGGUUGCAUUACGUCGAAGAUGUUGGGAAGAAGAUAAGUACUGCCAAUUCACAAUCAGAUCUUGGACAGAAUAUCUCCGGAUUAAUCACAGAGGUGACUGAGUUGACAGAAAAGGGUGAUCAAUUUUCAGGCGAGUCUUUAGCAUUAUUGCCACCUCAAAGGGGCCUGAAACUACCUGUGACGAGUCUAGUAGGUGAAACUACAGCUCUGAACUACUCAAAGAACGUUUGGGAUUGGUUAAUGAAUGAUCAGACACGAGUUAUUGGUAUGUAUGGGAUGGGGGGUGUAGGAAAAACCACCAUUGCCAUGAAUAUCUAUAAUCGACUCCUGGAAGAACAAAAUUGUUUCGGUCAAGUUAUUUGGGUUACUGUAUCCAAAGAUGCGAGUGUUGGCAAACUGCAAAAAGAUAUGGCAAAGGCGGUCAAUGUGAACUUAUCAUUGGAACAAGAUGAAUUGGAAGACUCAAAACUAUUGCUCCGAGCAUUGGAACAAAGAAAAAACGUUGCGAUUAUCAUGGAUGAUAUGUGGGAAAAUAUAUCUUUGUAUGCGAUAGGAAUUCCAAAACCCAGUAAGGAAAAUGGAUACAAACUAGUAGUGACUACUAGGUCGUUGGAAGUGUGCAAGCAGAUGAGAUGUCACCAAGAUAAUAUUGUAAGAGUAGAACCUCUGACGAAAGAGGAAGCGUGGGAGUUGUUUGUGGAUAAAGUUAAUGUUGAAUUUCUUCCAGAAGUCAGAACAAUUGCUGUGGAAGUUGUUAAGGAAUGUGCUGGUUUGCCCCUUGCAAUCAUCACAAUCGGUGGAGCAAUGACAGGAAACAAUGACCUUAGUGAGUGGAGACUUGCUUUGUCCAACUUGAGGGAUUCUAGCGAGCAGAACAUGGAUAGAGAAAACAAAGUGUAUAAAUGUUUGAAAUUCAGUUACGAUUGGCUUCCCAAUGAACAGUUCAGAAAAUGCUUCUUAUAUUGUGCAUUGUAUCCUGAAGAUUGGUAUAUUGAAACAAGCGAGUUGGUUGGUUUUUGGAUUCUGGAUGGGCUAAUUGAGGGGAGCAACAGACAACAUGAGCUUGACCAAGGUCAAUUAAUACUGAAUAAACUAACAAAUCAUUGCUUGCUAGAAAGUGAUACACGAUUUAAUGUUGGUAAUUGUGCACGAAUGCACGAUUUGAUUCGGGACAUGGCCCUUAGUAUCACAAGCAAGUGUUUCAUGGUUAAAGCUGGUGCAUUGUUGACAAGUUUGCCAAAUGAAAUCAAAUGGGGGGAAGAUCUUGAGAGGGCUUCUUUUAUGGAAAAUGAUAUAAAAGAGAUUUCAAUCAGUCCGAGAUGCCCUAAACUCUCAACAUUAUAUCUUCAAGAGAAUAUUUACUUGGAGAAUAUAGCAUGUGAUUUCUUUGUUAACAUGCAAGGUCUCAGGGUUCUUGACUUGCGUUAUAAUCAUCACAUAAAAUGGUUGCCAGAUUCGAUCUCUGACUUGGUGAAUCUCCGUGCUUUAUUCUUUAAUCGGUGUCAAAACUUGAAGAGAGUGCCAUCACUAGCUAAACUUGUACAAUUAAGAACGUUGGAACUUGAUGAUACUGACAUUACAGAGUUGCCUGAAGGGAUUGAAAUGUUGGUUAACCUUAGAUGCCUUAGUCUCACUAGGAUAAGUUUAAGAAAAACGAUUCCAAUGGGAUUAAUAUCCAAGUUAUCCAAACUCCAAGAGUUAUACCUUGAUGAGAUGGAGACAGAUAAAUUGUAUGUUGUAGGGAGUGGGACAUCUUUUGGUGAGGAAUUGUUAAGUUUGAAAGAGUUGGAAUAUCUUAAUAUAAGUUUCCAUUGCUUUUCUGACUAUUCUAGCUAUGUUGGAUCGCCCAAAUUCAAUGGGUUGAAACGUUUUACUUUGAUAGUUGGAGGUGGAGUGCCAGAAUUUUAUUUCGAGGAACCUUUUGAUUUAAAUAAGAUCAUAAUAUCAAUUGGAAUUGACUCCACUGAGAUUGACAUAUCAAUCGUUGAAAACACUGAAGUCCUUGAAGUUGUUGGUUUCAAAGGACCAAAUAUUGGUGUUUUUUCUUGCUUGAAGUAUUUGUACAUAUGUAAGUGUAAUAAUCUCAAAAAUGUGUUCUCAUCGUCUGGGUUGCUGCAGCUGCUCCAAAACCUUCAACAAAUUGUAGUCGCUGAUUGUGAUGAAUUAGAGGAGUUGAUAGAAGGAGGAGAUAACAAAAACACUGAAACACCCAUCACACUCCCUAAGUUAUGGCGUUUGAAAUUGGAAAAUCUACCGAAAUUGAAGAGCAUUUGGAGGGGCGUCCUGAUUUGUGACUCUCUUGACAGUGUUUCCGUACAAAAUUGUUCUGAAUUAAAGCGACUCCCUCAAUUUAAGGGAAAAGAGCAAUCUAUACUAUCACCAGCAUCUCUCAUAGAAAUCAUUGGAAGCACAGAAUGGUGGGAUUCCCUGGAAUGGGAUCCUGCAUAUCCCCAAAAUAUCCUUCAACCCUUCUUGAUAGAACUUCAAGGUAUGUAUGGAUUGAUUUAUCACUCCAAAUGUGUUCAAAUUUUUUUCUGUUUUCUUUUCAUUGUAAUAUAUUUUGAUUAAAUACUACCGAAAUUGAAGAGCAUAUGGAGGGGCGUGAUGAUUUGUGACUCUCUCGAAAAAGUUUGGGUACUUCCAAAUUGUUCUGAAUUAAAGAAGCUCCCUCAAUUUAAGGGAGAAGAUCAAUGAAUACAACCACCAGCAUCUCUGAAAGAAAUCCAUGGAACCAGAAAAUGGUGGGAUUCACUCGAGUGGGAUCCUGCCUAUCCCCAAAAUAUCCUUGAACCCUUCUUCGAUGAAGAAACGGAUCCUUAUCAAUCAGAAGCAGGUAUGUUGAAUAAACCAUUUUCUUCUUCCAAUGGUUUUUCUUAUUUGUUUCAAUGCACAUGACAUCAUUUUUUUUUGUUUGCUUGUUUUCUAUUCUUGAAUGCAUGUUGAAUAAACUCUCCAAUCGAAUCCUUUUCCUGUUAGAUGAAGAGGAGAGUUUUAAGUCAGAUUCAGAGAAGGUAGCUCACAAGAAACAGAGGUUAACAUCCCUGUCAGACAGAGGGGAGAGUUCCCAGUCAGGCUUGGAUGUACAUAAUAGGAUUGGUUGUUAUAAUUAUGAGGUAAACAUCCUUGUAUUUUUUUAAGAAAAAAAAUAUUAUCCAUUUUUCUUUUUUCUAUAAUACUGUAUACUCAUUUCAGACUAUGCAUAAUAUUGCCAUUCUUAAAAGACUUGUAUGCUGACAUUACUAUUAAAACUGUACAUCUCUCUCAAAAUGAGAAAAGCAACAGUCCUACUGUUCUUAGAACAUUGGACAAGCUGACAUAUCUGUAAAGUUUGAUAAUGCAAUACAUGUAUCCUGUAGUCAUCCUCUUACCAUCUUUUAUAUAUAUGGAUCUCCACAGAUGGAUAUAGGGAACCAAUACGAACAAGGGAUUGUGUUUGAACGGGCAAACCAUGGAGACAGUUCAGUUCCUGCACUUCAACCUUUCUUCAGUGAGGAUCCGGAUUAUGCAUCAGUACCCGGUGUGUAGAAUUAAAUAUUUUAUUAACAUUAGGAAUAGUCUCUCUGAAAAUGGAUUAUCAAACAGACGAGUUGUCCUUCCAAGUUUGAUCAAAUGCUUCCAUCUUUUCAUUUAUUUACUUUCCAGAAGGUGAUACACAUAAAUUUUAAUUGUUUGUCUAUAUUUUCUAUUGUUGAGUGCAUCUUUGUGCUAUCUGAUUUAUUAUUUUUUGGUUUUUAUUUAUCAUUCUCGGGAUCCUUUUCUUAUAUUCUUAUAUUCUUACCGUUCAAGUUUGAAAAAUGUAGCCAAUGUGACUUUUUGUCUAACGUUUUUUACUAAAAAUGAACUGCCAUAGAAUUAUCAAAGUUUAGAUAUAUUAGAAAGCAAUUUGAAAGUUAAACUAGAUUAUGUUUAUGUUUGUUUGAGUUUAUAUUCAGGGUGCUCCAAGCGUCCUUAGGGAAUAAAAUAUUGCACAUAUACAUCUUCUUAUUUCAAUUGUAGAAUAAUUAUCAUUCCAUGUUUGGGCAAAAGCUUCCAUCUUCUUCUUUCAAUUCUUUUUCUCAUUGCACGUAAACAUAAUCUUUUUUUUUUUUCCUUUUUCUGUUUUCUAUUCUUGAGUGAAUUUUCCUUGUAUCUGAUUUUGUGUUUUCAUUAAUGAUCUUUUUUUUUAUAGGUUUACAGUCCAAGUGGAAAAUUUUGUAACUUGUAAGAGAAAGGGGCUAACAUUCCGGUUAGAUGGAGAGGAAAGUUUUGAGUCAGAUUUAGAGGAGAGUUCCCAGUCAGAUGUAAAUAAAAUAUGCAAGAAAAGGGGCUAACUUUCAAGUUAGAUGGAUAGCAGAGUUUCGAGUCAGAUUCAGAGAAGGUAAGUCGCAACUGGCAUGAAAAAGAGGCUAACUUCCAAGUUAGAGCGAGGAGAGAGUUCCUAGUCUGAUGUGAAUGUGCAUAAGAAGGUUCGUUCUGGUUGAUUAGUAUGUUCUGCAAUUUGAAGUAGGUUUCCAUAGGGUUGCUAAACAACCUAAUUGAGAAGAAAAGAAAUAUGCAGUACUGUAAUUAUAUCUGGAAAAAAAGAGGGGGUGGGGGUGAGGGGAAUUACCCCUAUUUUCAAGGCUAGGUACCGUUAAACUAGGUCUGACUUAACAAUAAUCAGAACCUGUUCAGUACUACAAAAUACCUAUUCAGUAGCAAGAAUCAUAGCCAUAGGGCUCUUGACAACAACACAUGUAAUGUACGUGUCUGCUCUGCUUUCUUUUCUUUUCUUUUUUUUUUUAAUUUUUUCUUUCUUGUAGCUUAUUCUCAUUAAUUGCUUCAAUUCCUUUGUGUGCAUAUUCCUGCUAUCUGAUUUAUUUGUUCACAGUUUACUAGUAAUUGUUAUUUGUCAUUUAACAAAAUUCAGACUUUAAUGGAUGUCUUAAAAAUAAUUUGUACUAAAGCAUAUUAGGGAAAGUGCAACGUUUUGUUUGAGUUUAUCUUUAACACUGAGAAUUUUGAAAUUUUUGGAAAUAUAUCCAUUAACAUUUAAACUCUGUUAAUAAAUAUGAAAAUAUAAAUCAACCCAAUUGUGAGUGAAAAGAUGGAAGCAUUACAAUGAAUUAACGAAGAUUAAAUCAGAAUGCAAUUUGGAAAUUGAAGUAGAUUAUGUGAAGUUUUAUGUUUGUUUAAUAUGUGACUAUGUAGUUUAAACUCGGGGUUCUCCAGUGUGCUUUGGAAGGAAAAUGAUCCUCCUUCCAUCUUUUCACUCACAAUUGGGUCCAUUCCAGAUUCAUAUUUAUUAACAAAGUUCAGAUUUUAAUGGAUAUAUCAGAAAGUCUUAUGUUUUGUUUGAGUUUAUACAUACAACUAAAAAUGAUCCUCCAUUCCAUAUUUGCGCUAUUUUCUCCAACUCUCAUACCCCAUGUUUGCAUCAAACAACAGUCUGCUAUUGACUACUUGUACAAUGAUCGUCUUCCCAAAUUUCUAUUUUGAUUUGAUUUGUAUUUUCAAGGACAUUUGUGGUCAUGUUACGUGAUGUUUUACAACUUGCGACUGUCAUUAACUAGGCCCAAAUUAUUCUUUCAUGCAGGGGAGCUUUCUUUGUCGGCCAUAAAUGUACAUAAUGAAAUUAUUUGUGAUUAUUGCAAGGUAACAUCCAUCUUGUAACUUUCUUUUCCCUACAUGAGUAAAGUCUACUCACUUCAAUCCACACAAGAUAAAGCACCCAAUGGAUCCUUCUAUUCGUUAUAUAUUUUCUGCCAAUGGAUCUUGUGUUCUUGUUCUACUGGUUUAAAGUUAUUGAAUGAUAAAAUUGGUUUUGAAAAUCUAAACUAGCUCUUUUUGGUAACUGUUCAUUUUAUAUUGUUGACUCAAAGGGAGAUGGCAUUGGGAUUCCAAUAUUUCAACAUUAAGCAAAUAUGAGUUUGUAAAGUUUCCAGCCAUGCAGUACUAUCAUGUUGCUUGUAUGUAUCUUUUAGUCAUGUUCUCAAGUCUUACCACCUAAAUGGCUAUCUCGACAGAUGAGUCCAAUGGUCGGUAUAAUUGCAAACACUGUCAUGAAGAAAAUGUCAUCACUGAGGGAGGUGUGAGUUUUGAUUUGUGUGAAGAGUAUUAUCAUACUUGCUUUAAGCAUUGAGAUCUUGCCAAUUAGCAUCACACACAAGGGCAUGCAUUUGAACUUGUUACAUCCUGUGGAGCCAGUCCAGUUCCUAUAUAUCCUGAUGAUACUUCAGAGGAUGCAGAAGAUGGUCUUGUGGCUGUGAGUUCCCAGUCAGAUGGAGAAGAUGAAGAAGAAUUGAAUUUCAAUGUAUUCUUCUCAUUGUAGAGGUAUGUAUUUAUAUAUAAUUGUCUUGCAAACUAAGUAAUAGAAGUUAAUAAGUAAAUCGAAUCAUAGAAAUAUAUUACAUAUUAAACAUGUGUUAAACACUAAGAAUGUUCCUUUACAGAAGAGAGUUCCAGUGUGACGGAGAAGAAAGUUUUCAGUCAAACGUCAAUGUAACUCACAAGUGAAGGAGGCUAUGUGAGUCAGAUGGAGUAGAGAGUUCCCAGUCAGAUGUAAAUGUAAUUCAGAAGAGGAGGAGGCUAUAUUAUCAGUCAGGUGGAGAGGAGCUCCCUUUCAGACCUAAAUCUACAUAAUCGAGUUAUUUGUUAUAAUUCUUAGGUAAAAUCCUUCUUUUUAUAUUAUAUUAAAACGAUAUUCUAGAAAGUUCAAUCCAUAUAAGAUAAAGUUGCCAGUGGUUUGUUCAGCUUGAUAAUUGUGUUCUGCAAAUGGAUCUUGUGUACUUGUUUUACUCCUGCAACCAUUUAGAUCUUGCCAAUCAGCAUCAUCUACAAUGGCAUACAUUUGAGCUUAUUGCUGGACGUCCUGAUGAUAUUUUAGAGGAUGUGUGAUGAUGCUAUAAAGGAUCAUGGUGGUGGUGGUUCUUUCUCAAGAUGAAAUAAUCUCUUUGGGUCACUUUAUUAUCUCAUAGGAACGGAGAUAAUAAAUCCAACCAGCAUCAUCUACAACCAUUUAGUCUAUAUUUUUCGCUUUUUAGUUGGUACCUUGCCUCAUUGCUAUCAAGAUUUAAUGGUCAUUACAAACCUACCCCUUGCCUUUGUUUACGUUAAUAUUGCAAGUGCAUUGGCUGAUACGCAUAAGAGUUUUCUCAUUUGAUUCAGGAAUAAGAACAACCAGUAUGAUUUUACAAAUUGGCUUAGUUGUGGCAUUUUGGAAAAGUUGAAUUGAAAAUCUAAUACGAUGGUUUGUGACUCUCUUGAAACAGGUACUGUAGAUAAAUUAAUAGGCUUCCCUCAACUCAAGGAAGAAGAGCAAUUACCGCCUUUGGCCUCUCUUAUUUCCUUCGAACCAGCAAGUCGUGGGAUUCUAGAAAAACUUAUGCAGCACAAUAAAUUAAAAGUUCCCAUCUUCUCCUAUUUCUUUGUGUACUCACAAUUUAGUGCAACAACUCCAAAACCUUGAAGGGAUAAACACGAUUAUUGUCUAAAAAUAGAGGAGUUGAUAGGAGAAGGAGAAGAAAAAAAAAAUAGAGGAGUUGAUAGGAGAAGGAGAAGAAAAAAAACAUGACAGAUGAAGGGAGCAAGAAGAACAUCACUGCAAUUAUCAAUACACUCCUAAGGUUAAAGAAAUUGUACUAGUCCAAAGUCCAAACAACCAUUUGCCCUCUGCUAUAUCCUUGGAAGAAAUGAAUGGUGGGAAUCAAGGAGUCUUAUGCAGCAGGUAUGUUAAUAGUUAAUACUAAGAAUAUUUUCCUGUCUUCAAGGUUGCUGCAACAGCUCCAAAACCUUGAAUGCGCUUCCAUCUUUUUCAAUUAUUUCUUAUUGUUGGGUGAGAUUCAGUUCUUUUUCCCAGUUAUUUCCUUGAAGUUUCUUUAGUUAAUUAUUUCAAUGCACGCCUCAUUUGGAGCAUUAGAGGCGUAUGUCUCAGUGGUUUAUAGUACUGCCUCACUUCAAGUCGCACCUCAAAAUGCCUUUUUAUUUAAAUUAUGUUUGUGAUUGAAAGUUAUUUCUGAUCAAGGUUUAAACGCCUUUGUUUUGAAAGGGUUAAGUCAGGCCCUGACAGGAAACGGCGCUGACGAUCAGACCAAAGCUCUAUCUUCUAUGUUUACUUGUGUUAUUUUUAAUUUCUGUUAUAGGACAGGAAACGGCGCUGCUCAUAUCUUGGCAUCCAAAACAGAUAUUAGCUCGCCAGUUUCGUGCUCUUACCUCUAUCCCCCUGACUGGAUUCUGUUACAGUUAAAACAUGAUAUGUUAUUCUGUAAUAUGGCUACUGAUUAGCUUUUCGAAUAUAUCUUAUGAUUACUAAAACAAAAAAAAACGUCAGGCCCUGACCUGUAUUCAUUAAAAUCUUAGAUAAACAACUCCUUCUGGAUCCUCCCUUACAAGUUACAAGUUCACUAACAAUGUGAUCCAUGGGAGGGCAAAAGCAAGAUAUAUGAUAAACUCUCCCAACACCUGUAGCAGCUUGGUAGCAAGCUACUUUGUUGGCUUCUUUAUAGUUAUGAGUUUCAAAUACACUCUCAAACCAGCAAUGUGACUAUUUAUCUGUCUAAAUUCGUUUUCUAAAAUGAAAAUUGUUCAAAACCUCACUAACAAUUUGGGUGGGUAAAGUCAUUUUCUUUCCUCGUAGUUGAAUGAUUACUUCACUUUUGGCAAAACAUCUUUAUCUAGGGACAUAAGGGAAAAUUUACACCCACAUGGCAACAUCCUAUAUUGAAUAGAUCUUUAAUUUGUCAGACAAAAAUAUACAUGUUUGAAUCCUUUGUGAUAGACUGAAAGCUUUGGUGUUCUCUAGCUCUUGUACAGGUAACUUUUUUGUAAUUCAUAUUUGAAUCAUGCCAAAUCAAUCUAAACUAAAAUUCUAUGACUUCGACCCUUACAAGAUGAAGCCUCAAUGCUGUGUUGAGGUUGAUAAAUAUGCUUUGCAAAUUGAGUUCUUGUUCUUAUUUCAGUGGUUUAAAAUUUCCUUAAGGGCCCGUUCGGCAAAGGCCCAGAAAUGCAUUUCUGGGCUUCUUGAAAGUAAAGAAGUUGUAAGUCUGUUCGGAAAAUCUUAAAACAGAUUUAGAAAUGAAUUAAUGAUAAGUUUUCUCUUACCCCGUAGCUACUUUUUAGGAAAUUUAUUCAGAACUUCUACUUGGUUGCCGAAGGGGCCCUAAAGGUUGCUUAACAAGUAUUAUUUACUCUUCGAUUAAAUUGCUCAAGUUGCCAGUCUUAAAGCACUUUAAUUGAUGAUAUAGCAGUUUGAACUCUGAAAUUCAUCGAUUUUCAAAUUCUAACAAGCAAAUAUAAAAUUAUAAGCUUAAUGAUCUAAUUUGUGGGAUUCAAUGGUCCCAUAGUUCAUGUUCUAAGCAUGUUGAGCUGAUGCUUUUGUAAAGUUUUCAGAUAUAUUACUUGCCCACCUAGUACCUUUGUUUUUUAGCAUGCUCUUACCACCUAUAUGGAUUUAUACAGAUGAAUCCAAUAGUUGGGAAGCGAUACAAAUGCAAACACUGUUUGGAAGAACGUAUUGUCACUUAGGAGGCAUAGGCAGACUUGAGCAGUGUUUAGAUCUUGUCAAUCAGCAUCACACACAAGGGCGUACGUGUGAACUUAUUGUGAAUGAUCGUAAUCCUGAUGAUGCUUCAGCAGAUGCAAAAUAUGGUCUUGUGUUUGCAAGACCUACCGAAAUUGAAGGACAUUUGGAGGGGUGUGAUAGUUUGCGACUCUAUUCAGAAUAGAAGGGGCUUCUCAACUUACAGGGCAAGAUCAAUCAGCACCACCAGCUCUUCAGUAUAUAUAUCGGAGGAAGCUGAAAAUGGCCGGAUUACAAGAAGAUUACAAGAAGUAAUACAACUAUCACACAAACCAUAUUCACAAAUUAUAUAUCGAGAAACAUUAAGCAUAUGAUAAUUUAGUGUGGGGUAUUACAUUCAUCCCCCUAAAUGAAAAUUUCGUCCUCGAAAUUUAACAUACCUCGCAGAUGGGCAGCCACGGAUAUUUCUGACGAAUCUCGUCUUCUUGUUCCCAUGAUGCUUCCAUCUUUUGAAUGGUGAUCCCAUAACACCUUAACUAGUGAGAUGGUUCGGUUCCUCAAUACUUGUCGUUUGCGAUCAAUGAUUUUAAUAGGUCGGUCCUCAUAUGUAGCAUCUUCUUGUAAAUUCGAGGCAUCUAGAUCAAUGAUCUUGACAUGUUCGCUGAUAUGGUAUGCUCAUCAUCAUCAUUCUUUGGAUACUUUCUUAACAUAGACACAUGGAAUACAUUGUGAACUGCAGAGAGCUUUUCAUCAGGCAACUCCAAGCGAUAUGCAACUGACCCAACUUUUCCGAUUACGUUGAACGACCGAAUGAAUCUGGGAGAAAGCUUACCUUUCUUACCGAAUCGCAUGACUCUCUUUUUAGGCGAGACUUUCAGAAGAGCAAAAUCGCCCACCUGAAAUUCCACAUGUCUUCGGUGAGGAUCAGCAUAACUCUUUUGCCGACUUUGAGCUGUGCGUAUCCUUUGUUGAAUUAAAGCUACCCUUUCAGUGCUUCCACGUACUAAGUCUGGUCCCCAUCCCAUAACAGCAGCAUCACCAGUUUCGGCCCAACAUACUGAGGAUCUACAAGGUCUACCAUAUAACGCUUCAUAUGGUGCCAUCCCAAUCGUCGUCAGGUAACUAUUGUUAUAUGCAAACUCAAUAAAUGGUAGCUGAUCAUCCCAACUACCUUUGAAAUCAAGAGCGCAUGCUCUGAGCAUAUCCUCCAAAAUCUGAUUAACUCGUUCAGUUUGGCCGUCAGUCUGGGGUGAAACGUCGUGCUAAACUCUAAAGUAGUGCCGAAUGCUUUUUGGAAACUCUUCCAGAAAUGUGAAGUGAACUGGCUACCUCUAUCUGAGACAAUAGAAAUAGGGACUCCAUGAAGACGAACAAUUUCUUUAGAAAGUUUGUGAACAAUCUUCAACCACAAUUUGAUUUAAAGCAUCGAAAUACAGUUCGAGGUGAUAUUGUGAAAUUAUACAAGGAAGAGAAAAAUGCACUUUAUAGUAGUUUGGGAAAACUUUCAAGUCGGAUUAGUUUGACAACUGAUUUGUGGACAACACACUGUACAAGAGAUUCGUAUAUGUGUUUAACUGUUCAUUAUAUUGAUGAUGAUUGGGUUUUAAGGAAUAAGAUAUUAAAUUAUAUUUUCGAUUAAUGGAUUGUUCUCAUACUGGAAGUGAGUUAGAAAGAAUUCUAAUGAAAUGUUUGCUUGAUUUGAAUGUUGAUGAAAAGGUAUCUACUAUUACUGUUGAUAAUGCUUCAUCGAAUGAUGUGAUGGUUAGUUUGUUAAAGGCCAAUCUCAAUCAAGACAAGUUGUUAGUUUUUAAUAGAAAGUUUUUUCACAUUCGUUGUACAACACAUAUUCUAAACCUCAUUGUCAAAGAUGGAUUGUCAGCCAUGGGGAAUACGUUGAAUCGUAUUCGGGAGAGUUGUAAGUAUGUAAGGUUAACACCUCAAAGGAAGAUGAAGUGGGAAGAAGUUGCUCAGCAAGUGGGUGUAUUCACACUAAAAGAGAUUUGCUUUGAUUGCCCAACAAGAUGGAACUCGACUUAUGAAAUGAUUGCAACUGUAUUGAUUUAUGAAAAGGCUUUCAAGCGUUUACAUUUGAAAGAUGAGGAUUUCAAAACAAACCCCUCUACAGAGGAAUGGGUCAUUGCAUCGAGAGAUUUGCACAUGUUUGGAAAACUUUUAUGCGUCGACAAUGAGUCUUUCAGGUAUGCAAUUUAUAUUCCCAUGGUGUAAAUGAUUGAAUUCAUUUUUUUUCUUUUUCUUUCUAAUGUUGUCUUCGGUUUAGUCUGGUAACACACUCAUUUCUAAUGUUGUUUUUGGUUUAGUCUGGAUUUUAUCAUCUCUUAGAAACUUUAUUCUUAACUUUGUUAUAGGUAUGGAUUAUCCAUGUAAAUGUCAGACACAAUUGUUGAUUGUCGUAUCUAGCUAUUAGGUUCACAUGUCAAUUGUCUAAGGUCCACGUCUGAAUUGAUUUGGAUAAUCAUGUCUACUGGUCAUUUGGUCAGUGAACUGUGAACAUGUUCUAUGGAUCUGUUUCUUAAAAAAAAAUUAGUAUUGUUCAAUCUGGUUAAAUAUCUUUGAUAUUUGUUCAUGGAUUUAUUGUUGAAACAUGCUAUCAACCUGAACCUGAAGUUUAAAUAAGGGUCUUGAUCUAUUUUUAUUGAUUCCGCCAAGUGAUGGUUCAGGCCAAUGUUAUUUUUUGUUUGAAGAAAAUGAUAAUGCGCAUGCAAAUGGCCGUUGUUACUGUGUUAGUUCAACUUCAAAUUUAUAUUCCCAUGGUGUAAAUGAUUGAAUUCAUUUAUUUUUUUCUUUCUAAUGUUUCCUUUGGUUUAGUCUGGUGUACUCAUUUCUAAUGUUUCCUUUGGUUUAGUCUAGAUUUUAUCAUCUCUUAGAAACUUUAUUCUUAACUUUGUUAUAGGUAUGGAUUAUCCAACUGCAGACGUAUACUUCUCGAAUGUAUGUGAAAUUCAUAUAGCAUUGUUGGAGUGGAAAAAAGUGCUACUGAAGUUGUGAAAAAAAUGGCUGAUUCCAUGUAUGAGAAGUUCAAAAAGUAGUAGUUGUUUGAUUCUAGCGGUGGCCUUUGUUCUUAACCAUGGUUUUAAGUUGAAGUUUGUUGAGAAUUACUAUAUCAUAUAUGGUGACUAUGAGAGUGCUUUUCAAACUAGGAAAGUUCGAGAAGCAAUGAUUGAAAUAUAUAGUGAGUAUUCCCCACCUACAACAAAUCCUCUUUUCACAUCUCAACCUUCAUCAUCAAGUUCUAGUCAACAACUCUUCGAUGAAAAUUCUCUCAAUUCGAACAAAUCUAUGAGAUUUGAAAGUUGGUACCAGGUUGAAGGAAUCGGUACAACACAAUGCAAAUCUGAGUUGGAUAGUUAUUUGGAUGAGCCCCUUUAUCCGCUCAAAGGUUUAUCUUUAUUGGAUUGGUGGAAAGUAAAUACACCAAAAUAUCCAACACUUUCGAGGAUGACUCAGGAUAUUUUGUGUAUUCCUGUUACUUCAGUACCUUCAGAAUCGGCAUUUAGCAUUGGAGGUAGAGUACUAAGUGACUAGCGUGCUUCGUUAUGAUUUGUUUAAUAGGUAAUUUUAUUAUGUUUUAUUGGUAUUGUUGUAGAUGCAUCUGCAUGCUUAAUUCAAGAUAAUAUUGACUCAAUGGCAAAUGAUGAGCUCGAUGAUGUUGAUGAUGAUUUGUGUUCAACAGUAGCAUUCUCUACUUGAUUGGAUAAUGAACAGGUACAAAUCUAGUUUACACAUUGGAAGACAUUUACUUUUUCUAUAAGUUCACAAGUUCCUUUUGCAAAUAGAUUUGUUAGAGAGCAUUCAGCAUUUUGGACCCUCCUAUAUAGCAUCUUCUAUGUUAUUCAGCUUACCUGGAAAUAAACUCUACCUUUCUUCUCUAAUUAAUAUCUAAAUUUUUUAGGUACCAUAUGAAGGAUGUGAUUGUAGGCAAGAUUUAUUUUCUUCUUGUAAGAAUCAAAUCAAACACAUGGAGCUUGAUGGAUGGUGUUCCUGUCAGAGGUAUACAUAUCUAUUCUUAGUUCUUAUAAUGGAUGUGGAUUAUGUUUUUCUUAAAUUGGAUACUUUUUAGCUUGAAGUGGUUACAUUAUUGCUGAAAAUGAUUUGGUAUCAGCUUAGGUCUAGUAUAUAACUCGACUUUUGCGAAAUGUUAAUGGUCAAUAUAUCAGUAGAAAGCACUAGCACUUGUACUAGUAGUCUACUAGUACUACUACUAGUUUUUUAGUAUGGGUACACCACUUGAGAGUGUGAGUGGUUCUGACUUCGGAGAAUUCGUUUAGCUGAUGGAUUCACAAUAGAACAGCUUCUUCAUAUUAGCCUUAUCUUUGAAUAUGUUUUGCAUCUAAGGAUAACUCAUAUUCCCUGCUUGCUUAUGACCUACUUUCACCAUUUUUACAGUAUAUUGUUAGUAGUCUCUAUUCUGAUCCUCCCUGUUCUAUAGAUGAUGGUUAAUUUGUUGUUUGUAUGUUGUUUGAAUGUAUAAUGCAGUCUUACAUUACAUUAUGUUUUUCUUUCCUUCACAUAGACUGUUUCUGAGCACUUAUCAAUUAGAGCAUGAUGGAGGGAAGACAGUGAUACAGCGAAGACAACACGCAAAUUUAAUUUGCGAAACAUGUUGUAUUUGUAGAGUGAUUUGUUUGGGGUUUUCUGUACUCUAUUCAAUCUGAGAUGUAUGAACAAUUUUAGCAAAACUUACAAUGUGAAUCACACAUGUACUUCAGCACUCUGGUUGUUUGAUAGCAAACCUCAUCAUUUUAUGUAUCGGAGUUUGUGUCACCGCAUUUUUAGCAUCAAUAUAUGUUAAAAGUUGGUGAAACUUAUUUAGCAUUUUUAGGAUCAAAUCUGAGUUGGAUACAAUAUAUGUAUCGGAGUUUGUGUCACCGCAUUUGUACCAUCAAUAUAAGAUAAUGAAAUGUUGCAUGGCAUGUAUAACAAUUGUGAACUGUAUACAUAUAUGCAAGGAAGCAAGAGGCAUUGGGCAUUACUGACUACUGAGUAGGAUAGGAUAGGAUGUUUGCAACUUUGCACCAAGGAUGUAAACAUGUUGCAAAAUUGUAUUUAAAAAGAAAAUUUGUUUUUUAUUCAAAAGAAAAACACGAGGGAGCAUGUGCAGCUGCAGCUAAGGUACAAAAAUACGAGGGAGCAUGUGCAGCGAACUAGCAUUGUUUCAUUCCUUUUGCUUUUGACACUUUUGGGUUUCUAGCACCAGAAGCAGUUGAGCUUCUUAGGAGGGUAUAGAAGGUGAUGAAUAGCAAUGUGAUGACGGCGGGUUCCAAUGAAUAUGAAUUUUGUAGGAUUGGUUUUGCUAUUCAAAAAGGGCUUGCAGCGCAGUUUUUAGCACGUUUGUCCUUUAGCUUUGUGUAAUUCCUCUUUUAUCAAUAAAAUUUGUUUUUGAGUAAAAAAAAAAAAAAAACCCCGGAUCGGAUCGGAUCAGAUAUCCAUUAAUUUACAGUGGAUCGGUUCUGAUCAGCUGUACCAAUUAUCCGUUCUGAAUUAGAUCACAAUACAUACAGAUCAGUUCGGCUCAAUGAGAUAUCCAACCGAACCGAUCCUUUGACAAGCCUAUUCACAGCGUUCCAAAGUCACAAACCACACGUAGUCUUUUAGGUGGUAAACCGGCCAGCAUUAGUGCACGCAUCUCUAAAAUAUUGAUAUCUUUAUGUUGAAAUAAAAAAAAAAACCAAGAUUUUCUUUAACACGAUGGAUUGGUCCUUUGAACCCAUCAUCAUUUAAGCCAUCUUUCACAAUCAAAUUUAAAACAUGACAACAACAACGGACAUGCGAUAAUCUACCAUUUAAAAGAAGGCCAGGUAAAAUUGUCUUAAAAAAAAAAAUGCUACAGUAUUAGAACUAGCAUUAUCUAAUGAAUCGAAAUUUUUUUUUCAAAGAUACCUAGUUUUUGAAGUUUUUCAAUAAUAAAAGUAGCAAUAGCAUCACCAGUAUGUGAAAAAUCUAUAUUACAAAAUGAAACAAUUCGUUUUUGUAAUUUCAAAUAUUUAUCAACAUAAUUAGCAGUAAUUGAACAAUAUCCAAGAUUUUGAUUAGAAGUCCACAAAUCGAAUGUUAAACAUAUUUUUCCAUCAAAAGUAAGUAAAACUUCUUUUAGUUUUGAUUUUUUCUUCUUUGAAAACCUUAACUAUAUCACUUCUAACAGUAUGUCGUGACAAUGCAACAUAUUGAGGACAAAAUAAUUCUUUAAUCAUUGAUGCAAACUCAGGAUCCUCAAUAACAUUAAAGGCAACUCUCUUUUUAUUAUCCAUUUAAUAAGUCUUCUACGAGCAACUGAUUGACUAUAUGUAAAAGCAACAACAUUUCCACUCCCAUCUUGAGACAAGGUUGGUUGACCUGAGUCUCUCCUACGCUUUUUAGCACAACUUGUAAGAUGGUGAGCAAGAUGGUUUGUGCCAUCUUUUGGCGAAACCCCUAAAGAAGUUUGACAUACAUUACAAACACAUCUAAGCACACGUGCACCGGUUUUAGGAUGAGGACCAUAAAAUGUCGUCAAACAUCAGAUUUUCUACUCGAUGAUAAUUUUCUAAGAUGUGUUUCCUCUUCAGGAGUAUGAUUAUGAAUAUUAGUAGCACUAGUAGCAGGGGAUGAAUUAGUAUCAUUAUUGUUGGGUGGUAUAUAAUCUGAUUCAUAAGUAGGCUCACUAGACUCUCCAAUUCCAGACAUUAUCAAUAAGAUAAUAACAACAAAUUAACAAAUUGAGAGAAAAAAAAGAAGCAAAGAAUCAAUCCAAUUUACCAAUCGUCACAACAAGUUGUUAAAUGCAAGCAACUCAAGACAGAUAGCUAGAAUGCAAAGAACAAUUCUGGAAUGAAUGACUUGUUUAUUGAAUGAGAAAUAACAGCUAUUAAAUAGUCUUUUACAGAAUGAAAUCUAAAACAAACUACACUCACGUUCCAACUAGAAUCGUGGUAACAAUCUUGACUAAAUCAAAUAUAACAGUCCCUAAAGAAUAGGGCUUAUUGACAAACUAAAUCUUAUCAUUCCCUCCUCUGAACUAAACUGCCUAGGCAGACAUCUAGUUUACCUUUGGGCCAUCACAAACUCCCAAUUUCUUUCUAAGCUCCUAAAAUGUUUCUAGCUUGACUGGUUUUGUAAAUAUGUAUGCUAUUUGUUGCUGUGUACCACAAUACUUGAGCUGCACAACUCCUUCAUUCACCAGAUCACGUAAGAAAUGGAAACGCACAUCAAUAUGCUUGCUCCUGCCGUGCAUCACAGGAUUCUUUGACAACUUGAUUGUUGAGCUAUUGUCACAAAAGAUGACAGGACUCUCACUACCAUUAUAACCAAUCUUCUUUAACACCUUUUUCAUCCACACUAAUUGACAAGUACAUGCUGCAGCCGCAACAAACUCAGCUUCUGUUGUACUUAGUGUAACUAUUGGUUGCUUUCGAGAAGACCAAGCCACUGCUGCUCCACUUAAAAUAAAAACAUACCCCGACGUGCUCUUUCUAUCUUCCACACACCCCGCAUAAUCACUAUCAGUGAAGCCAACCAAUUCCUUAUUUCCUCCUUUCUGGUAAAAAAUACCAAAGCCAAUGGUUCCUUGCAAGUACCGUAAAACUCUCUUGGUUGCUGAAAAAUGUAGAUCAGUUGGCUAUGACAUAUACCUGCUGAUUAGGCUAACUGCAUACAUUAUAUCCGACCUUGCGGCUGUUAAAUAUAUCAUGCUUCCAACCAGCUGCUUGUAGAACGAACCAUUCACCUCUACCCCAUUUUCAUCUUUAGAAAUUUUGAACCCUGGAAUGAUCGGAUUUUGAACAGAAUUACUAUCCUCCAUUCCAAACUUUUUUAACACUUCCAUCACAUAUUUCUUUUGACUAAUGAAUAUCCCUCCAUCAAACUGCACUACUUCAAUGCCAAGAAAAUACCUCAUCUUGCCCAAAUCCGACAUAUCAAAUUCCUUCAUCAUGGAGUCCUUAAACUCACACAUCAUAACCUCAUCGUCUCCUGUAUAAAUUAAAUCAUCAACAUACAAACUAAUGAUGAAACGUUUACGUUGUUUGUUGACUUUAGUAAACAAAGUUUGUUCACUAUCAUCCUUCUUGAAACCUUCUCUCUUGAAAUACGACUCAAUCCGGUUGAACCAUGCUCUUGGUGCCUGCUUGAGUCCGUACAGACCUUUGUUGAGUUUGUAUACCUUUUGCUCCUCAUUCUGCAUCUCAUAACCUCUCGGUUGCUCAACAUAAACAUCUUCAGUUAAUUCUCCAUGAAGGAAAUGAGAAACUACAAAUAGUGCUAGUAUAACAAAUGUGAAUUCAAACAAGCAAACAAACAAUACGCAGAAAGUAAAUAACACACAGAGAUUUUUAACGUGGUAAAACCCAAACAGGGAAACGUCCACGGUUGUCCUCGCGACAACAAAAUAAUCCACUAGAUGAAAAGAGAUGUACAAACCUAUCAACUACCUGCACUCACUGCGAGUUGAUACUCCUGGUUAUCUCUAACACCUUGACUUCACCAGAGCACCUUGAUGUACGCACAAGACACUCGACUUCUUGAUGAACACACAAGAAGACUCGAAGCCGAAUUCACAAUAACACUUGAAGAUCACAAAGAUAUGAAUUGGAAAAGGGGGAAGAAAGGGAAUUGAGUUCAAUAGCCACAAACAAGUUUAAUAUCAAAAACCUAACCAAAACACAUGAACAAGAAGAAGGAUGGACGACCAAAGAACUAUCUUGUUCUGUAGAAGAGAAACCCUAUUUAUACUUAGGGUUGAAAACCUAGGAAAAUGGGCCGAAACUGUGCAAACCGACUUUGGACGUUCGUACGUCGAUAUGACGUUCGAACGUCGCCACACAAAAAUAAGCCUGCUGCCUAACAUGACGUACGAACGCUCUAAACAGGUACGUACGUCUCCAUACGAAAACAUGUCUGCUGACUACCUGGACGUACGAACGUCCUAACUGAGUACGUACGUCCUGACCAAAAUAAGUUCGCUGCUUCAGUGAACGUACGUACGUCCUAACUCGGUACGUACGUCCAAAACCCAAUAACUUUCCCUAGACGGACCUAAGAGACACAAGGACACGAGACGACCAUGCGUACAUCUUGGUUUUCCUAACAAUGAAUUCAAGGCGAGAUAACCAAAGACACUUUGUCACAAAAUUGAUGUCAAACCACUUCGUGCCGGUUUCAAUCUCCCCCUUUGACAUUGAUUUUGUGACAAAAACCUAUGACUCUAAUAGCACUUAUAAAACGUGCUUACAAUCCCAAACCAUGACAUUUAUAAAACAUGCCUACAAAAACACUCAAAAUAGAAACACAUAACAAGUCACCAAUUCUUGUUAUCCAGCUUUAGGAAGAUGCUUUAACCAUCAGAGAUCAAACGGAAGCAAUCAAAGAUUCAACAGAAGUUCCUUCGAGCAACUCCCCCAUACUUCAUGAGCUCCAAACUUCAUGAGUAACUCCCCCAUACAUGUAGCAUACCUGAAACAUGACCCAAAAAUAACCUAACAACAAGAAGACGAUUGUUAGUAAAUAGAGUCAUAAAUCUCCCCCUUUUUGUCACAACAAGUGAACAAAAUAACCAACCAAUCAAAAGACAAGAAUAACAAUAAACCAAUAAUCAAGAAGAAGAAAUCAAUACCAAACAAAGAAUACAAAACAGAUAAAAAUAUAAACCGAACCCAACUGUCAAAAGUUCAGAAAAGCAACUAAUAACCAAACAAAGGAAUCCAGAAACAGAAAAACCAAAACGACAAAAAUAGAAAGCUCGAAUUAACGAAUUCGAAAGACCCUUUCCCAAUGACCUAGAGGAAGCUUGGAGAAGUAAGCUUCCGCACGAGCCGAAGGUCGAUUCCAACGAGCAAUCACAUGAUCAUCAUAAUCCUCCAACCAUUCACUCGUACAAAACAACUCUUCAAUUCUGCUGUCCAAGCCACAGUCGGUAAGUGGAGCAGCAAGUCCUGGAACCUUCGGAUAACCAACCAACUCCAAGAUGUGAUUUUGAAGAUGUCCCGGUAAUCUCUCCCAAUGAUUGACACGAACCAAACAAGGAUUAAGAAAAGGACGAUGAAUAUAGUCAUAUCCAUGGGGAACGCGACACAAACGACAAACCUUAGCAUUGUUCUUGUACUCCAUUACCAUGAACGACACAUAACCAACAGUCGGAACAAAAAUUCCAUGAAGUUCAUAUUCUGCCAUAGAGAAUUCUGAAGAACAAAGAGAGAAUUAGCAAGAGGUAAGAAGACACAAUAUGAGUGAAAGAGAAGAAGACUCCUUAUUUAUAAGAAAAAUAGGAGUAAACAUAUCAUGGACCCAAAAAGAAAGGUCCAUUACCUCAGAAAAAUUUACUGCAAAACAAAGAAACCAACUUGAACUAAUAUGAAAAUAGCAAUAUCCAAGAACAUGUACAAUACUAAAAAAAUAGAAACAACCGAUAUAGCAAAAAAAAAAAUUUAAGUACAAAAAUGUGGAGAGUAACCAGAAAAACCACUACUCGGAGUCCGAGUCACUAUCACUCGGUUCACCAUCACCCUCGUCCUCACUCUCUGAGUCAUCACCAUCACUCGCACCUUGAACGGGAGGCACCUCUUCCGGAAACGGAGGCAAGUCUGUGGGAGUGAAGUCCAGCUGCAGAUGCCGCAUCUGAGCAACAUUCAUCGCAUGAAUAUCACUGAUCAUGACAUCAUGACGAGAGAGAAUGGCCCCGAAACGAUCCAACCGAGCAUCCAUAUGGUCCUGAUGACGGCGGAGAGAGGAAACCCGAGCAUCAAUGGCUGCAACAGCCCGAUUUCCCCUAGCAGAAGCAGGGAUGGGGCGUCCAGUGGUCAAGGCCCGAUCGAAAUCAUCAUUACGCACAAGUGCCCUGCCUCCCCAAAUGAGGUGGUGCGUCAGACGCGCACCCACGGACUCGAAAGCCAACUUUCGAGACUGACAGGCCUUUUUAAUAGCGUUGACCCAGUCGUGGCCAACAAACUUUGGAGGGCUCACCCCCAAAUACUGUCCCUGAAAACCCAAGUGCCUGAGAAUCGUCAUAAUAAAGCUAGGGAAAGGAAGAGUACCCUUAGCUACAUCAAUUUGAAGCAUCCGAUUGUAGAUGACCUCAGAGAGAUGAAUAUGGUGCACCGACAUACAAACCACCAAUUUGACCAUGUCGUCGGUCAUAAUUAUCUUGUUGCCCUUGGUGGGGUAGAUGUUGGAGUGAGCAACCAUGUGCAGGAGGAUGGCGCUGUAGUGCUUGGCAUGAUACCUUUCCGUGACACCAUCAAUAAACAUCUGCUGAACUUGAUUGACAAAGUCAAUUUGAAUUGACUCCGGAACGGGCCAUCUAACAGAGACAGCAUCCUCAGGAACAAAGUCACCAUCAAUACCCAACGCCUCGCGUAUCACCUUAGGAGAAAUGGUGUAUCGCCGACCUUCAAUCAAAACCGAAAAACUCGAUCGAUUUUGCGAGGGUGUCUUUGUCUCAUAGAAAGCUAUCGUAUGCUCAACCGAGUACUUGGUGAUUGGUUGAGCCACCCUUAGCCAAUUCCGAGUCUCAAAGAACAAUGCGAUAUUGCCAAGUUGAGAUGCCCCUAGAGGGGUGGCAGCAAUGUCUCCCAAGUCGAAGAACCGCUCGGGAACAAUGGCCUUGGCUCGAGGAUGAGCGCCAAGGGAUGAUGGAUGAGACAAACCCGGAGUGGAACCACGACCUCUCGGAGCGCGAGAAGAAGAUGCACCCUUAGAUGUGGAUGCCGUGGAGGUGCGUGCACGCUUUGAAGCCAUUUCCUACACAAGCACAAAACAAAAAUGUAAGGAAAUUGACAGAAAAACCAAUAAAAAAUCAUUGAGGCAUUUCAACAAACACUUGAUGUGCAGAAACGUGAUAUAUGCCAUCGACAACAAUGUAGCAAUGGCAAGCAUCCAAACACAAGACAAGAAACAUGAAUAACAAGACAGAAGAGAGAAAUAAUCCUCAAGGUCGUUCACAACCAAAAACAAGGCGAAUCGAGUGUCGAAACACCGAGUUCCAUGACGACAAAAUGUAAUCAAACAACCUUAAGUAACAAAACUAUAAAGCAAGUCAAAUAACCAACAACCCAUUAUAGUAGAGAAGAGGGAAAGAACAUAAGAAAAACUUACAAGUGAUAGUGAAAGAGGAUACCCAACAACUUAGCCGACAAACACACUGGAACAAACACGAUGACAAGAGAAAGAGAACAAAUGCAAAGCAAGAGGAGAGAGAAGAGAAUCACCUAAGACAAUGAGGAGAAACUACCAAAAACUAACUGCUUGUAGUGUACCAAGGAGAGGGAACACGAUUUAUAUAACAGUUGGCCGAAUGUUUAAAACAAAAUUUGAAUUUAAACAGCAAAUGGGCCGGACUGUAUCAGGGACGUUCGUACGUCCUAAGUACGUUCGAACGUCGGGACCAAAAAAAAACAUCUGUCAAACAACACGUUCGUACGUCCUAGGAACGUUCGUACGUUGCAAAAAGAUCUGUCCCCCUCCACGUACGAACGUCUUGAAGGCGUACGUACGAACCCCUUUUUUUUUUUUUUUUUUUUUUUUUUUUUUUUAUGAAAAUAAACCACAUAACUAGAAAAACAGAUAUUGAGAGACAUCACAAGAAAACACUUCUACGUAUCAACCACAAGAGAAUGCAAAAUCGAAGAACGACAUCAUACACCAUGACAAGGUAGUUACUAGAAUGAUGCAAGUAUGUAGAAGAACCUGAGAGACCAAUACCAACCUCCGAAAAACAAAAUAAAGACAUGAUCAUUGAGAAUAUUGAAAGUCACUUGCAGCUAGCCCAAAAUGAAACUGAACCAGAUCACACUGCCAACCUAAAACACACACCAUUGUUGUUCUACUUGUCUUUCAACUAGACAAAUGCGAAAGCCAUUUUUUUUUUUUUUUUUUUUUUUUUUUUGUUAACCAUUGAAACAGAUGCCAUUCCCGUGUGGGAGUAUGAAAUAUCUCCAUCUUUUACCAGAACACGAGGGUAGGGUGUAGCCUACAUCUUUUUGGCAAAAACACACUCAAGAAGUGCAAUACCAUGAUAACGUGCAACACAAGAACUAACAUCUCUUGAGUGCAUCCGUCAGAGCAUGACCCUCACAGCCCCAACGGGUUCUUAGCCAAAUGAGUAUGCUCUCAAGACAUUCAAAUGGCUGGGGAUUUUGUGAGUCAUUGACCACUUACAAGAGGUGAGAGAAUAAAGAAAACAAAGAACAACGAUCAUGAAAGAUUAACCAUGGGAGACUGGAGUUAAACAUGUAUUGAAAAAGUCAAGCCGACCACAUUGAAAUGCAUCAUGCAAGAAACUACCAAUACGAAGAGAGUAUAAUGUAACCCUACACCUAUGCAUGACACAAAGACAGUUGAGAACGCCAAACUAGAAACAUUUGUAAAAUGAAAUCCACAUAAUAGAGAAUGUAGUAUGUCCUCAAUACCAAUAACAACAAUAAAUGACCAAACCUAAACAUCCUAAACACAGACAGUUCCAAUGAACACAUUAGACAUAGGAAUGCAGAAGAGGUGUAGUAACAAUGAAGCAGUUAUCAGAUGAGCGACUACCAGAUAAGACCAAGAUAUUAUUGGAAUCAAAAACAUCACACCUAUUAUCCUCAAACACAACCUUAAAUUUAGCAUCACAUAGCUGACUAAUACUCAAUAGAUUUGACCUAAGACCCUUAACAAAAAGAAGCUCAUGACUAUUGAGCGAUUCAACCUCAGAAAAGUUACCUUUACCUUCAACCGGAAGCAAUUUACCAUUACCAAACCUAACCUUACCUCCAUAACCAAGAGUCAGGUUAUCAAUCAGAGUCUUAUCACCUGUCAUAUGACGCGAACAACCGCUGUCAAGAUACCAUGAUGAAGGCAAUGGUUCAACCAAACGAGCCAUGUGAGACACCAUUUUCCUGGAUGCAUCCAUACUCCUAUCCCAGAAAUGUGGUGGUGGAGUAGGCAUGGGUGUUGCUUGAGCACGGUUUCCAUAGGGAGAAGUUCUGGGUAAACCCCACGGAGCAUAGCCAUUCCACAUGUAUGGAGCCUGCAUGGAGAAGGUGGAAGACUUGUUCCAAUAUGAGUUACCUGCAAAAGAAGGAUGAUGAGCAGGAUACAAAUUAUUCCAACAAAAGGCAGAAGUGUGACCCAUGCGACCACAUGUUAGACAUUUAAAGCCUUUGUGUCUAGAGUUCUUUUUCCGAGCAUGCUUUACAUGAGUAACCUUGGGUGGUGAUACCACACUAGACGCCUGCACAGGGGCAGGAAUAGCGACACUUGUUGGUCGCACAAAGGUAGUGCGGGAAGUGCUAGCAGUAGCAAGGGGAACAGAAGUAUCAUAACCUAAACCAGAUUUAUCUGAAUGGGAUUUACCGAUUCCCAACAGAGAGUUUAGAUUAGCACUUGCUUUACCAAACCCAACCAAUUGUUUGUUAGCAGCAAACAACUCGGCCUUUACUCUCUCAUGCUCCAGUACAAGGGAUCGAUACCGUGUUUCAAGAUCAUUAUUCAAUUUUUCCAGAGUGACAAUACGCACUUGGAAAUCCUCCUUUUCCUUCACAAAUUCUUCCUUCAACAUGUUGGAAUCACCUGUAAGGUUGCAUAUAUCCUGUCCAAGACUCUCUACCUGAUCCUGCAAGACGGUGUUAGUUUUUUCAAGCAACUUUACUUGUUGCAUAGAAAACUUAUACAUGUCACAUAAUUCACUAGUAGUAGCAUGAACACCAGAAGCAGAAACAUUAAUAUCAGUAGAAGAGGAUACAAUACCUCCUGGAUGUUCAUCCAGGGAUGCACUGAAGACCACAUAAUUAGAGACAACAUUGGAGAGAUUCCCAUCAUCAUCUUCAUCUGAAUCAUCCCAUGUGACUGUGAGAUUCGCUUUGGAAUUAUCACCAGGUUUGCGAUCGACCUUCUUAUCACAUUCAUUUGCAAAGUGUCCAUAAUCACGACACUUGUAACAUUGGACAUCUUUACGGUCAACCCGAGCUCUCCUCCCAUCCACAGAGAACCGCUCAAAACCACGACUUCUAGGAGCAUUUGAGGAAUCAGGAAAUCGCUUUCGAGGAUCUCGAUUCUGUUGAUAUUUCAGAAUCUUCUGAAAGCUACGUGACAGAAACGCAUAGUUAUCAUCCACAUCCUGUUCUUCAUCAUCAGAAUGUCCUGUGGAAGGUUCUUUAGACGAUGUAGCUUUGAAUGCAACAGAUUUGUUCUUCAAAGGUUCUUCCAAAGCCUGUUCCAUCUCACAUGUCCUUAGUUUGCCAGCAAGUGUCUCGAUGGACAUGUUCUUAAUCACAUUACUUUCAGUGAUGGCAUCCUUUCGUGAACGAAACCGAGGAGGCAAAGCACGCAAUAUCUUGCGUACCACCUGUGUGUCAGUAUAUGCCUGACCAAUAGCUGCACUGCAGUUGAUGAUGUCUUGGAGACGAAUAAAGAAAUCAUCAAAGGUCUCAGAAUUAUCCAUCCGUAGAUUCUCAAACUGAGAUGUUAACAGUUCCAGCUUACUUUCUUUGACUGUUUCGUCACCUUCAUGUGUACAGAUAAGCCUGUUCCAUGCAUCUUUAGCCUCUUCACAGCCCUGCACCCUACGAAACUCACUAGCAUUUAAUGCCAUGAAAAUAGCAUUGAGUGCCUUGUUGUUAUAAUUUGCCAACAACUUCUGUUCAGGCGUCCACUUUUCACGUGGCGUCAGUGAUGUAACAGCAGUAUCAUCAGUACCUGUAGUAGUCAGAGGUUCUUUCCACCCCGUGACAACAGAAAGCCAGACUUCUUCUCCUAAAGCUUGGAGAUAAGCUCGCAUACGUACUUUCCAAUGACCAAAGUCCUUUCCACUGAAUUGUGGAGGAAGACUUGAAGUAGCAGACUUGUGAGAUUCCAUAAAGCACUAUUGAUCAUUAGCGUGAGCCUUUACGCUCCUUAACCAGCCCCCAGCGACUGAUACCAAUUGAGAAACUACAAAUAGUGCUAGUAUAACAAAUGUGAAUUCAAACAAGCAAACAAACAAUACGCAGAAAGUAAAUAACACACAGAGAUUUUUAACGUGGUAAAACCCAAACAGGGAAACGUCCACGGUUGUCCUCGCGACAACAAAAUAAUCCACUAGAUGAAAAGAGAUGUACAAACCUAUCAACUACCUGCACUCACUGCGAGUUGAUACUCCUGGUUAUCUCUAACACCUUGACUUCACCAGAGCACCUUGAUGUACGCACAAGACACUCGACUUCUUGAUGAACACACAAGAAGACUCGAAGCCGAAUUCACAAUAACACUUGAAGAUCACAAAGAUAUGAAUUGGAAAAGGGGGAAGAAAGGGAAUUGAGUUCAAUAGCCACAAACAAGUUUAAUAUCAAAAACCUAACCAAAACACAUGAACAAGAAGAAGGAUGGACGGCCAAAGAACUAUCUUGUUCUGUAGAAGAGAAACCCUAUUUAUACUUAGGGUUGAAAACCUAGGAAAAUGGGCCGAAACUGUGCAAACCGACUUUGGACGUUCGUACGUCGAUAUGACGUUCGAACGUCGCCACACAAAAAUUUGCCUGCUGCCUAACAUGACGUACGAACGCUCUAAACAGGUACGUACGUCUCCAUACGAAAACAUGUCUGCUGACUACCUGGACGUACGAACGUCCUAACUGAGUACGUACGUCCUGACCAAAAUAAGUUCGCUGCUUCAGUGAACGUACGUACGUCCUAACUCGGUACGUACGUCCAAAACCCAAUAACUUUCCCUAGACGGACCUAAGAGACACAAGGACACGAGACGACCAUGCGUACAUCUUGGUUUUCCUAACAAUGAAUUCAAGGCGAGAUAACCAAAGACACUUUGUCACAAAAUUGAUGUCAAACCACUUCGUGCCGGUUUCAGGAAAGCUGAUUUACAUCGAGUUGGAAUACACUCUAACCUCGCUGAGCUGCAAGAGCUAAGAUCAACCGCACUGUGUCCAUUCAAGCUACAGGAGGAUACACUUCUUUGUAAUCAACUCCAUGUUUCUGGGCAUAACCUUUUGCGACUAAGCGGGCCUUGUGCUUCUCCACUUCUCCAAGCUCAUUCAACUUUGUUUUGUAGACCCAUUUGACUCCUAUCCUCUUAGCUCCUUUUGGCAAGUCAGUUAGAAACCACAUCCCAUUCUUCUGAAUUGAAAUCCAUAGCCUGCCUCCAUUUUUCAUCGUUUACUGCUUCAUCAAAACUGGUCGGGUCGGAACUGGGCAGGUCAGAGCUAGUAAGCAAACCCAAGUGAGCUUGCACGUCUUCAUCGUUAAUGUCAUCACCAGUAAAAUAGUCUCGCAUCCAUACUGGUGCUCUUCUAUUGCGAAUUUCUCUUGCAUUUGAAGUUUCGGGAAUAUCAAGAUUUCCGGACGUCUCGCUCCCUUCCACAUCUUCACUCUCUACCUCUUCAUUACUGUGUUCUUCAUCUCCCCAUUCUAAGUCUAGCUUAAUCUGUUAUUCAUGGCUUGCAUCCCAGUUCCACUUCUUAUCUUCUUCAAAAACGACAUCUCUGCUAAUCACAAUUUGCUUCGACACUGGAUCAUACAGUCUAUAUCCCUUUGAUUCUUUGCUCACCCCAAAUAAAACACAGCUGCGACUCUUGUCUUCAAGCUUUGUUCGUCGAGCAUCAGGCACAUGAACAUGUGCUAUACUACCAAAGACUCUCAAGUGUUCUACAGAAGGCUUCACCCCGCUCCAAGCUUCCUCUGGCGUCAUGUCUUUCACUGAUGACGUUGGGCAUCUAUUAAGAAUACAAAAUGUCCAGUUCACCGCUUCGGCCAGAACGUCUUCGGAACAUUGUUCUCAAUCAAUAAACUUCUCACCAUAUUCAUCACCGUCAUGUUCUUCCGUUCUGCGACACCGUUUUGUUGCGGUGUAUGGACAGUGGUCAAUUGUCUCUUGAUUCCAUUCUUUCUACAAUAAUAGUUGAAUUCACUUGAUGUGAAUUCUCCUCCAUGAUCUGUUCUUAAACAUUUAAUAGACAAACCAGUUUCUUUUUCUACACAACUUUUAAAUAACUUAAAAGAAGCAAAUGCAUCUGAUUUAUAAACAAGAAAAUGUACCCAAGCCUUCCUACUAAAGUCAUCGAUAAAACCAAUAAGGUACCUCUUGUGGCUGUGGGAAGUAGGAGAGAUUGGACCGCAAAUAUCUACAUGAACUAGCUCCAACUUUGCUGAUGCUUUCCAUGUGCUUCUUGUCAGAAUAACGUCUCGGUGUUGCUACCCCUCCUUUGGUUCCUUCUUGAUUGGUUAUGUGUUUGAUAGCAAUACAAACAUUCUGUUUGCCGUCAUGUUGGUUUGAAUGAUCAAACCCUUUGUGGGAUGGCAGAUUCGGCACUGAUUGGACCGCAUUAGAAUGGCUAGUCCCUUUUCUUGCAGUUGUCCAACACUGAGAAGGUGACUCUUCAAUUCCGACACAUAAAAUACAUCUUUUACAAGAUAACUGACACCUUCCAAAGAUAAUCUCACACUUCCUUUGCCAACAAUGUUCAUCCUCGUAUGAUUGCCCAAUCUGACCACUUUUUUGAAUCCUUCUUCUAAGUCACAGAAAGGAGAUGGAUCACCACACAUAUGGUUGUUGCAACCUGAAUCAAUGAACCACACAUCAUCUUGGUUCACUCCAUGUAACUCGACAUAGGCCAUAAGUACUCUCUCCUCUGACUCAUCCAAUUUUGCACAAUUUGCUUGUUUUCCUGAACUUGGACAUUCGUAUUGGAAGUGUCCGAGUUGAUGACAUUGGUAGCACUCAACAGUGGCCUUAUUGUAGUUAUGGCGACCCCUGCUUCUACCUCUUCCUCCUCUGAAAGUAGCUCUCCCACGUCCUCAUCCACCAUAACCUUCAUCAUGUGACACCUUGAGUGCGUGUUCCUCGUCUCCAUCCUUUUUGAACUUCUGCUCAUGAACAAGCAGUGAACUCUGCAAGGCAUCGACAGAUAGCCGAUCGAUAUCCUUUGCUUCUUCUAUGGAACAAAUAAUGUAAUUCCAUUUUUUGGUGAGAGUUCUCAAAAUUUUCUCAACUAUCUUGACAUCAGUCAUGUCUUCCCCACAAUUCCUCAUGUCGUUUGCAACCACCAUCACUCGACCAAAGUAGUCAGUGAUCGAUUCACAUUGCUUCAUUGCCAGAACCUCACAAUUCCUGCGAAGACGGUUGAGUUGAGCCCUCUGUACGCGAGCAUUUCCCUGACAUUUCAUCUUCAUGGAAUCCCAAAGUUGUUUGGAUGUCUCUUUCUGUGUGAUUGUCUUUAGAAUUGACUUGUCAAGGGAUUGAAACAAGUAAUUCUUGGCUUUGAGAUCUUUCAGCUUCAUCUCCUCUAGUUUUUCUCUGCGCAGCAGUCAGCACCUCUUCAUCACCAUGUUGUGAAUAACCGGAUUCCACAACAAUCCAAUAUUCCUUCGAACGGAGGAGAUUCUCCAUGACCAUGCUCCAGUGAUCAUAAUCACCAUCGAACUUCGAAAUAGAAGGUUGAGCAAAGCUAUUGUUUGUUUCUGACCCCAUCUCUUGCACACUCCCUUGUUGUCUCUCUAACUCACUCUUUCAAUCUCUCAAGUCAGGCUCUGAUGCCAGAAUGUUAAAUGCAAGCAAUUUAAGACAGAUAGCUAGAAUGCAAAGAACAACUCUGGAAUGAAUGACUUGUUUAUUGAAUGAGAAGCAACAGCUAUUAAAUAGCCUUUUACAGAAUGAAAUCUAAAACAAACUACACUCACGUUCGAACUAGAAUCGUAGUAACAAUCUUGACUAAAUCAAAUAUAACAGUCCCUAAAGAAUAGGACUUAUUAACAAACUAAAUCUUAUCACAAGUAAGCAACAGCUUCAAGGUUCAACCCUUCUAUUGGAGUCUGGUUACAAAAGUAACAAAACAAUAAUUAUCAAUCCUUGAAAUAUCAAAUCAAUUAAUUAGAAUGAAUUGAAAUUCGAAAUACUCACAUAUCAAUUAAUUGGAAUGUGUUGAUUUGAUAUAUAUGAUUGUUGACAAUGAUUCGAGGUGAUUCGAGACUAUAGUUGUACAGAUCUGAUUGUUGAUAUAUAUGAUUGUCGACAUUGAUGAUUCAAGAUUACCCUAAUUCCAUCUUUGAUGAUUGUUGAUGAUGGUGAGUGGUGGAGUGGUGGUGCUACAUUGGUGGUGUUGAGUCAGUUGAAUAAAAAGAAAAAGAAGACGAGAGGAAGAUGAAGUGUGAUUGUGAGAAGAAGUUGAAGUGUUAAUUUAUACCAUUGUGUGUGUUGAGAGAGGUAGAGAGAGUUGUUGUGAGUUGAAGAGAAAGUGAGAAACAUAGAAAUAUUGGGGAUUUAGGUUAGGCUAAACCAGACGGGGAUACGGAGCGGGGAACGGGGGCAGGGUUUUAAUCUAGAGUAUAAAACCCAUCCCUGCCCUAGUACUAAUUGGGGCGGAGCAACACAUUGCGGCAGGGCGGGGAGUAGGGCUGCAAUCUGAGCCGAGCGGCUCGGGCUCGGCUCGCUCAUUUAUCUAAACGAGCCGAGUUCGAGCCGGUUUUUGAGCUCGUCACGAGCCCGAGCCGAGCUCGAGCUCUAAACUAGCCGAGCCGAGCAGCUCGUUAACUUUCUAGCUUCUCCAGCAAAAACAAUUGGGGGAAAAGCUUCAAGAGUUUGAAGAACAGUUUCAAGAUCUUGUUGGUUUGGGUAUUCUGGAAGUUGAAGAGCUUUCUUUGUUCUCCAACUAUCAAUUGACCAUUUUCCAGGUGUAGUAGUAGUUGUUGUUGUUGGAACAGGAGUUGCUGAUGAUUUGGUAUUCGUUGAUUUGGCUGCUUCAGCUGCAUGAAUGGCUGAGAUUGGUUUGAUAAUGGAUCUAGAAUAAUUGGUAGGAAGGAGAGAGAAUGAAGAAUGGUUGUUGGGUUUGGUUGAAGAAGAAGAAGAAGAUGGAAGAAGAGUUUUCGAUUGAAGAAGAGAUUUAGUUGAAACAACAGAACUACUUGUUAAAGCCAUUGUUGUUUCUUUCUUUCCUUCUUCUUCUCUGUUUCUCACACUUUCUUCUUUCUUUCUUUCUUUCUUUCAAUAACACUUCAAAUGGAGAAAGAGAAGGAAAGGCAGAGAGAGAGAAAGAGAGAGAGUUUGAUAAGAAUGAAGAAGAAGGUGAGCAGAGAUCGUAAUAAGAGAGGACACUUGAUCGACCUUGUUAUAUAGAUUUCAUUAGUCUACCUAACCAAACGAGCUCUAAACGAGCCGAACGAGCCAAACGAGCCAGCGAGCCGAAACGAGCCGAGCUCGAGUUUUACUGUUGGCUCGCGAGCCGAGCUCGAGCUCAUAGUUCAGCUCGAUCUUAAUUUUGAGCUCGGCUCGAGCUCGGCUCGGUUAGUAACGAGCCGAGUUCGAGCAUACCUUAGCUCGGCUCGAGCGGCUCGAAUUGCACCCCUAGCGGGGAGAUGAAAAAUGGGGCGGGGACCGGAUUGGGGUCGGGUCACGGGGCAGGUUCAGCACCCCUAAUUCGUUCUACUACAACUUUCAUCAUCACUCAUCACUGUGACUCAAUCAAGUAAGGUUAUUUCUUCUUCACCAAUUUUCCCAUUUGGAAGUUAGUUGAAUUGAGGGUGUCCCACACGUAUAGGAAGGCAAGAAGAAGGUGAUAGUGAAGCUUCCAGUAAACUAACAUCAACUUGAAUUGGAAUCAACGCGGUGUCCUUCACCGCGUUCCAAAGUCCCAAACCAUUUGUAUAAAUACAGAAGAAGAGAGUGAGAGAGUCUAUGAAUUGGGUGUGCUUAAGUCUCUGAUCGACUACAAGUCUUCCCACUUCAUUUACAUACAGGUAUGUAAUCUCAAAAUCUUCAUCUCUUGUUUGAGUUUUUUAGUCAACUUCUCAUUUAUGAAUUGGGUCCAUAACAACAACAAAUCAUUUAACAUGAGUCUAUUAAUCUACUUAUUUGCUGGUUAUCACAGACUUGGUUGAGUCGUCCUUAUACUAUUUGAAC
rnacentral:lncRNA from 1 species